GAAUAGUAAGUACAUUACAUUGUCCUCCCAGAAUUGGGUGGGCUUCAUUAUUAGUGUCAUGUGAUAAUAGCAAUAAGCUGGAGCCAUUUCUUUGCCUUACAAUGUAAUACUGUACUAAUAAGAGCAAAGCUGCUUCAGCAACCAGGCAGUCACCGACUCACCGUUGCUCAUGUAAAUUUGUAUAACUGAUAUUUAUUUAUAGUCGCCGUUCGUUUCUUCUUUAUGUAAAGUAAACAAUGUUGAUAUUUCAUAUUGGGGUUUGAGGCUGGUAUACUCAACUCUUUGCACCGAAGAGAAUAAAAUCGCUGAGAUUGUUGCUCUUGCUUCCAAGCAUGGCGGCCCUCUCCGCGGCGUGCAUAAUUGAUGUUUUCUUCUUUAUUUUUUUGUAAAGUUUGUGGGUUAUUUAUGGGUUUCAAACUAUUUGUUUCUUGGCGAUUUUGGUGCUUAAUAAGAUAUUAAGAUGGCAAGGGAGGGAGAUGUGUGGCUGUGCCAUGCCCAUGGAAAAGAGCUGGGCUUUUUCUUGUGAUAAAGAAUAGGGAAAGCUGGAUGAGGACCAUGCCUGCUUGCCAUUGCCGUUGUCCCCUUUGUAGAUUAGAUUCUUAAAGCAUCAGCCUCUUAAGUCCGCACGAUCAGAUCACCGUUUUUGUCCCCUAAAGGAACAAAGAGAUCGCCGUUGUACCUUGUUUAAUAUUUGCGCAGCCUCGGUGGUGGUACACGUGUUAUGAAUUUGGGAUUUUGCCAUCCAGAAAUGCUGGCAAGCAUUGGAAGCAAUAAUAAUUGAGAGGAAGAGACGAGUCAUGGCAAAGGUAGUCGUGCACGAUUGCCAGAUUGGGUAGCUGUCAGCAUUUUGGAAACAAAUAAUUGGCCCUGAACCAGGCAAAUCCAUGUGGUACACCAUACAUAAAAUCAAUCAAUCGACCAAGAGAAAUACAGAAAGGAAAACCUCUUAAUUUUAUAUUAUACCUAUUGCCAAAAAAAAAUUGCAAAACACCAAACGAAGAACAUAACAGAAGGAAAAAAAACUUAUUAAAAAGGAGGAGAAUAAUAAAUAAUAAAAAACAAAAAGAAAACAAACUAGACAGACAGACAGUGCGACUUCCUACUACUACCUAGAGCGGCACGGGCCGAGGCAGGCCGUAGGGAGGAGCCCAUGAGCGGCCCUGUGAGGGGCAGAAACCCUACCCCCUCCCGUCCUGGCCUCGCUCCGGGGACCCCUUAAAAGGCGGCUCUCCCCGCCGCCGCCCAAACCCUCUGUUUUUCUCUCUCCUGCCAAUCCCCUCAUCGCCUCCGCUCCCACGCCGCCGAAUCCGAGACCUGAUCUCGGAUUCACCGCAGCGACGCGACCAAACCCUCAGGCGAUCCCCGGCACCUCCUCCCCGACGCUUCAGGUCCAACCCCCUCUCCCUCCCUCUUUCCCCCGCCGGUGCCGUGUCUCGCUUCGCUUCGUCGCCGUCGCCGCCGCGACGGGCCGAUCUGUGUGUGCCGGUGCUUUUCGGCGGGUUUGGCGGAUCUGGGUCGGUCUGGGGCCGGAUCUGCGUCGGUUCGGUGGGGGAAGCUAGGUUUUCUGCGGCGCAGGCCGCGGUUUUAGGGUUAUGGUGUUUGUUGACGAUGAUACUGGUUGUCUGCAGCCGAUAGGAUCGGUAGCCUACGUGUUUUGAGCCUCUGUUUCGGCUGAUGAUAUGCUUUUGUUAUGCAGGAUUCUGUCUAUUCCCGUCGCGAUGCGCUUUAGCUGUUCUGUUUAUUUUUAGAUUUCUUGUUACUCUUUGCGAAAAAGCUUGUGUAUAUAGCUGUAUCCGGCUUUUGUGGAGCUGUACUUAGUGGUGCUGUCCUGUGUUUUGGUGCUCGUUUUGCUGGAUGAGCUUGUGUGCUCAGUUAGCUGAAAUUGUGCGUGGUAGCUGUGAGGACAGUUGUAGUUGGCAAGCUCUGCCUAGUUAUAUUGAGCACGAGAGGAAAUAGUUAUUCUACUGUUUGUUCUCUUGACAAUCUGGAAGGAAGUGUCAAGCGCAAGUUUUUGGCCUGUGUCUCUCAUCUGUUGCAUAUGAAUUCUUCUCUGGUUUGUAUAAGUUUGCAAUGGAUUCAAUGAUAUUAACUGGGUUCUGUGUAGACCUGUCCAUACACACAGUGAUUUAUAUGGAGUAGUGUCAGAUGUUUUCGUUUCUCUUGACCAUCCUGUUGAUGUUAUCUUCAUACACUACAAUGUAUUUUCUGAUUUCCUGUUGUUAAUUAAGCUUCUACAUGUUGUGUUGCACCUCUCUUUUCAUGUCGUUUGUUUGAGCUAACACAUUUUAUUUCCGCUACAGCCAUGGCAGGAAUGGCACCGGAAGGUUCCCAGUUUGACGCUAAGAACUAUGAUUCUAAGAUGCAGGAGCUGCUGUAAGUAGUCUGAACUUUAUGUUCUUUCAUUUUAUAGCUGCUCAUGGUUAUCAGCUGGUAGUCAUUUAACCAAGUUGAAACCCUGUUUUUGCUGUUUGAUUUGUGUAUUUUAUUCUUACCUAUAAUCCUUAAACAGGAGCCAAGGUGAGACUGAGGAGUUCUUCACCUCCUAUGAUGAAGUUCAUGAGAGCUUUGAUGACAUGGGUCUCCAAGAGAACCUCCUCAGAGGAAUUUAUGCUUAUGGUACUGUGCCUGUUAUGUUUUGUCCUACUAUAUUGGCAGUCUUCAUCUCCCAUUAACAUUGUUUGUUCUGCCUACAGGUUUUGAGAAGCCUUCUGCCAUCCAGCAAAGGGGAAUCGUUCCUUUCUGCAAGGGGCUUGAUGUUAUCCAGCAAGCACAAUCUGGAACAGGAAAGACUGCUACUUUCUGUUCUGGAAUCCUUCAACAGCUUGACUAUGGUUUGGUUGAGUGCCAGGCCUUGGUCCUUGCUCCCACACGUGAGCUUGCACAGCAAAUUGAGAAGGUCAUGCGUGCACUUGGUGACUACUUGGGUGUGAAGGUUCAUGCAUGUGUUGGAGGAACCUCAGUUCGUGAGGACCAAAGGAUUCUUGCAAGUGGAGUGCAUGUCGUUGUUGGUACUCCUGGUCGUGUGUUUGACAUGCUCCGCAGGCAGUCUCUGCGCCCUGACAACAUCAAGAUGUUUGUCCUCGAUGAAGCUGAUGAGAUGCUUUCCCGUGGUUUCAAGGAUCAGGUCAACACUCUUAUGCUCUUCAUCUAUAUUGUAUUUCAUCUGCCAUACUGCACAUCUUAUUUAUCUGACACUAGUUAGUUAUAAAAUAUGUUUACUGCUCUGUGUAUUUUCUGUUUGUGUAAUUUCAUUGUCUAAGCUGGUCUAUUCUAUGUUUGCUUUGUAUGGUAUUUGUUGUGGUUAUUUUUGUUAAAAUUUCUGUUCUGUAUUUUAAGCUGUGGGUAUUGAUCUCCAUUUUGUUAUAUUUGCAGAUUUAUGACAUCUUCCAGCUUCUCCCAGGGAAGAUUCAAGUUGGUGUCUUCUCUGCCACCAUGCCCCCUGAAGCCCUUGAGAUUACCCGCAAGUUCAUGAACAAGCCAGUGAGGAUCCUUGUCAAGAGGGAUGAGCUCACCCUUGAGGGUAUCAAGCAGUUCUAUGUCAAUGUGGAGAAGGAAGAGUGGAAGCUCGACACACUGUGUGACCUGUACGAGACUCUUGCCAUCACCCAGAGUGUCAUCUUUGUGAACACCCGCCGCAAGGUGGACUGGCUCACCGACAAGAUGAGGGGCAGGGACCACACCGUCUCCGCCACUCACGGAGACAUGGACCAGAACACUAGGGACAUCAUCAUGAGGGAGUUCAGAUCAGGUUCUUCACGUGUGCUCAUCACCACUGACCUGCUUGCUCGUGGUAUUGAUGUCCAGCAAGUGUCCCUUGUCAUCAACUAUGACCUCCCAACCCAGCCAGAGAACUACCUGCAUCGCAUCGGGCGUAGUGGUCGGUUCGGGAGGAAGGGUGUGGCCAUCAACUUUGUGACCCGUGAAGAUGAGAGGAUGCUGUUUGACAUCCAGAAGUUCUACAACGUGGUGAUUGAAGAGCUCCCAGCCAACGUUGCCGACCUUCUGUGAUCGGGCGGGCUGUCGAGAACAUAUGGUAAGGGGGUCCUGACAGGGCUUUGUUUUUGUUGAAGUAUCACCAAACUUUCUUGUCUGUGGGUGGGGGGGUUCAAGUGAUAAAUGGUCUGGGGUUCUACUUUAAAGUCGUGGUCGUGGACAAUUUGGGAUUUAUUAAGCCAUGUUUUGGGAAUUUUUGUAGUUGCUAGGCUGUGGUUCUAUGUGCUGAGGAGGGAGGCGCUGCUGCUCAUGUUGCUGUUGCUGGAGUCCUCACUUUAUUUGUUAAGACUAUGUAAUGACCGAAUGAUGUUAUUUGUUUGUGUCAUCCUUGACUCUUUACCUACCGCAUGUAAUCCUGCAAUCGGUACUAGUAAUGUUAUCGUUAUUAAAAACUGUUUACUCUUUUUUUAGCAAUAACCUCUGCUUAUUAGUCAAGGAGUAGUUAUCUACUUGUGAUCGUUCGCAUAUCUAGUUUGCCGUAUUACUCGGGUAUCAGGAUAUGGCAUCUGCAGUGCUUUCUGAAAUUCCCAUUCUCAGUACUGAGUGAAACUAAGAUACUGGGUUACCUGUAAAUCCUGUCAGUGUAACGUGAAAAUUUGCAUCCUCCCAGAGAUUGGGAAAGAGUAAAUAAUGGUGAAUGUUAUCCCAGUUGUUAGGACGGAGCUCAUCAGAUGCUCAUCAGAUCUGUCCCAUUCGCUUCGUAACCCCCUCCCCUUCCACAACCGUCAACUAACGGCCAGCACACCACGCCANNNNNNNNNNNNNNNNNNNNNNNNNNNNNNNNNNNNNNNNNNNNNNNNNNNNNNNNNNNNNNNNNNNNNNNNNNNNNNNNNNNNNNNNNNNNNNNNNNNNNNNNNNNNNNNNNNNNNNNNNNNNNNNNNNNNNNNNNNNNNNNNNNNNNNNNNNNNNNNNNNNNNNNNNNNNNNNNNNNNNNNNNNNNNNNNNNNNNNNNNNNNNNNNNNNNNNNNNNNNNNNNNNNNNNNNNNNNNNNNNNNNNNNNNNNUGAAUAUUUUUGCAAGUUUUAGUGCAUCUUUCUUUUUUAAAUUUUUAUCACAACAAAGAAUACAAUAUAAUAUAUAUUUAAGAGCCUUAAAUAGAAUUUUUUUGCAAGUUUUAGUGCAUCUUUCUUUUUUAAAAUUUUAUCACAACAAAGAAUACAAUAUAAUAUAUUUAAGAGCCUUAAAUAUGCAGAGCUCACACAAUAUAACAUGUAUCACACUCGAGUAGUUUCACAUAGUUUCACAAAUAGCAAAAUAUGCAAAGCUCACAUAUUAAUAAAGGUUGAACUAAUAGACAUGUCAUACAUAGCAAAUAGCAAACGGUUCCACAUAGUUUCACAAAUAGCAAAUAGCAAACUUGUCCACAUAGUUUGACAACCCCAACUAAUGCAAGUAGUUUCGCAAACAGUUUCACAAAGCCAACAAACGGUUCCACAUAGUUUCUCUCCAACUAACACAAGUAGGCUAACAAGCCAAGACCACAAUUACAUGCUUCUUCCUCUCUUGGAGGUACGGUCCUCGUUCUUCUUUGAACGAGUCUCUUCAGGCUUCUUCUCGCGCCCUCCUCGAGGAAUCGGUUUUUGGAAUGGGGAUGGACUCUGCAAAUCCUUCUUUGGCUGAUUUCUCUUCAGAAGCUGAGAUGGUUGAGUUGGUGGAGGUCCGUAAUCUUCAUCGUACUCCUCCCCAUUGCUCUCCUCCUCCUCCUCAACCAACCUAGCCGAAGAGGCAGCAUGGCUUGAUGAAGCAAUGUUACCUUGUGUGGCUGCAGGAUCAUGAGCUUCAACCGAGCCAGCACACUCAAGCAGGCCUACCAGCUUGCGACAAUGCUUGACGAACUUCUGCAGUCACAAUGAAACAAGGACAUAAUACUGAUCAGAUUUAUGAUUGCAAAUGAACAAGAACAUAGGUUAUUUCUAGGCGCCUGAAAUAUUACCUUCACCGUCUCCCUCAUGAUAUUCUCAGAAUCUCCGUUCCCUGGGGGACGACCUAGUGCAUUCGAGCCAUCGAAGAUGCAUCUGCUCAGCUCGCCGGACUGUAAAAGCAAUGAGUCACAAUGACGAAUAAAAUAAAUUACAUACAACCGCCGGUUCAAGACAGAAGAACACAACUUACCACUCUAUUGACCAGGGGUGCAAACUCCCUAAAUCCACUCAUGUCUCUGAUGCUGGCCUGGUAGGCCUCUUCCUCGGGGGCAUCCAUCUCCAGCUCUGCGAUAUCUUCUGUCGUCCACCUAGGCCUGAGACGAAGACGAUGCUUCUGGCCAUCAUCGUACCACCUCAUGUGUUGGGCGUAAUCAUCCCAGUCAAUCACUCGCCUCUCCCCAUCUUUAUGCCACCUGCGCCGGUUCCACUCUGUCACAAAAGUUUUAUGCUGCUCUCCCCAUGCUGUGAUCAACUGAUUUUUCUUCCGGCUCAUCCUACAAGGCAUAAACAACACAAAACAUCAUAAGAAGGUCAAACGCAACGAAAUCAUGGUAACGGAGAACAAUGCACUCACAAGUGGAGUUCGUGGCCACCGGUAUCGUUCGACAUGCCCGGUGGUGUAUGCUGGUAGAUCCCAAACUGCGCGGCCACGCGGUGUGGCAAGUGCCACUCAACGACGUACACACAUAGCAUGGGCACCAUGCACCGCCAAAGACCGCGAUCCUCCUCGCACAUCACGUUCAGCUCGAUGAGAAGGUACCACAGGUAGGCCCUCGCGUAUUGCUCCACCAUACCCUCAUCGGCAUUUACGGGGCAUUUCUUUCGGUUGUUCAGGAGCCAGGGCAGCGAUACACCGGAUGUCCGGUUACCUUAGCGUCGGGGUAGUCACCGAUGAGGGUGGUAACCCUCUGCUGCCAUUUUGAACAAACAUGAAACAUAUCAAGUCCAAAUAUAAAUGAAUCAUAUUCAACCGACAUGAAUCAUAUCAUUUUCAUCAAUUAUAACUUAUUCAACCAACAUUCAUCAAUUAUCAUAUAUUCAACCAAUAUAAAUGAUCAAUGCGAAUGAAUCAUAUUCAACCAACAUCUUUCAUUCAACAACCAUCACUCAUGCACUUGUUUAUUCAACAUUGCUAAAAAAUGCAUAUACAUAAUUCACCAAAAUCCAUCAUAUGACCAUUUGUUCAAAAAAUAUGCAUAUACAUAAUUCAAUCGUAUGUAGGCAACUACUUACAAUCCCUCCAACAUCAAUCAUGUGACCAUUUGUUCAAAACAAAUCUGAAUCUCCAACUAGGGUUCAUAUAAAAACUAGGGUUCGUAUAAAAACUACAUAUAAUCUCCACAACUAUUCCCUCUAAAUAUAAGUCUUUCGAGAGAUUUCAAUAUGGACUACAUACAGAGCAAAAUGAGUGAAUCUACACUCUAAACUAUGUCUAUAUACAUAUGUAUGUAGUCCAUAUUGAAAUCUCUACAAAGACUUAUAUUUAGGAACGAAGGGAGUAGUUAUUAGAGUUCAUAUUGAACCCUAUACACAUCAUAUACAAUGAACCUAAGCAAUCCUAAGAUAAAAAAGUAAGACAAUAGGGUUGUUUUGCACCAAAUAAUGCAUCGAAUUGAAAAUGUUUCGAGUAAAACUAAUUGGAGGGAUUGAUAGAGCUUACUUUUCCCGUUUCGGAGCCAUCUCGAUCCGCAAAAAUGGUGGCAAAACGAAGAAGAUCGAAGGGGGGAGUGGAGUGGAUGAGAGAGGGCUUGUGCUCUCUGUUCUUGCAGCGCUGCAUGGUUGGGGAGAAGAAGAUGGGGGCUGGUUGGUGGGUGGGCCCCACGUGCCUCCCCACGCGGGCUUAUAAGGAUUCAGCCCCUACCGCCAUGGUCUAUGACCGUAGGGUUGCAUAGCCUACUGCCGUUAGCUCUCGCGGUAGGGUGGACGGCAGGAGACGGUUUCGUUUACUUGAGGCUGACGUGGAUGAGUGGCCUACCGCCAUACCCUGUGGUGGUAGUGAAGGAAAUAUGCCCUAGAGGCAAUAAUAAAGUUAUUAUUUAUUUCCUUAUUUCAUGAUAAAUGCUUAUUAUUCAUGCUAGAAUUGUAUUAACCGGAAACUUAGUACAUGUGUGAAUACAUAGACAAACAGAGUGUCACUAGUAUGCCUCUACUUGACUAGCUCGUUAAUCAAAGAUGGUUAAGUUUCCUAGCCAUAGACAUGAGUUGUCAUUUGAUGAACGGGAUCACACCAUUAGAGAAUGAUGUGAUUGACUUGACCCAUCCAUUAGCUUAGCACGAUGAUCGUUUAGUUUGUUGCUAUUGCUUUCUUCAUGACUUAUACAUGUUCCUAUGACUUAUGCAGCUCCCGAAUACCGGAGGAACACUUUGUGUGCUAUCAAACGUCACAACGUAACUGGGUGAUUAUAAAGAUGCUCUAUAGGUGUCUCCGAUGGUGUUUGUUGAGUUGGCAUAGAUCGAGAUUAGGAUUUGUCACUCCGUGUUUCGGAGAGGUAUCUCUGGGCCCUCUCGGUAAUGCACAUCACUAUAAGCCUUGCAAGCAAUGUGACUAAUGAGUUAGUUGCGGGGUGAUGCAUUACGGAACGAGUAAAGAGACUUGCGGGUAACGAGAUUGAACUAGGUAUUGAGAUACCGACGAUCGAAUCUCGGGCAAGUAACAUACCGAUGACAAAGGGAACAACGUAUGUUGUUAUGCGGUUUGACCGAUAAAGAUCUUCGUAGAAUAUGUAGGAACCAAUAUAUAUGAGCGUCCAGGUUCCGCUAUUGGCUAUUGACCGGAGAUGAGUCUCGGUCAUGUCUACAUAGUUCUCGAACCUGUAGGGUCCGCACGCUUAACAUUCGGUGACGAUCGGUAUUAUGAGUUUAUGUGUUUUGAUGUACCGAAGGUUGUUCGGAGUCCCGGAUGUGAUCACGGACAUGACGAGGAGUCUCGAAAUGGUUGAGACAUAAAGAUUGAUAUAUUGGACAACUAUGUUUGGACUUCGGAAUGGUUCCGGGUGAAAUCGGGAUUUUACCGGAGUACCGGGAGGUUACCGGAACCCCCCGGUAAGUGUAUGGGCCUUAUUGGGCCUUAGUGGAAUAGAGGAGGAGGAAGCCUAGGUGGGGGCGCGCCCCCCCAAGCCCAAUCCGAAUUGGGUGAGGGGGCCGGCCCCCCUUUCNNNNNNNNNNNNNNNNNNNNNNNNNNNNNNNNNNNNNNNNNNNNNNNNNNNNNNNNNNNNNNNNNNNNNNNNNNNNNNNNNNNNNNNNNNNNNNNNNNNNNNNNNNNNNNNNNNNNNNNNNNNNNNNNNNNNNNNNNNNNNNNNNNNNNNNNNNNNNNNNNNNNNNNNNNNNNNNNNNNNNNNNNNNNNNNNNNNNNNNNNNNNNNNNNNNNNNNNNNNNNNNNNNNNNNNNNNNNNNNNNNNNNNNNNNNNNNNNNNNNNNNNNNNNNNNNNNNNNNNNNNNNNNNNNNNNNNNNNNNNNNNNNNNNNNNNNNNNNNNNNNNNNNNNNNNNNNNNNNNNNNNNNNNNNNNNNNNNNNNNNNNNNNNNNNNNNNNNNNNNNNNNNNNNNNNNNNNNNNNNNNNGGCACCCCAUAGACACACAAGUUGAUCAUUGAUCUCUUAGCCGUGUGCGGUGCCCCCCUCCACCAUAAUCCACCUCGGUCAUAUCGUAGCGGUGCUUAGGCGAAACCCUGCGUUGGUAACUUCAUCAUCACCGUCAUCACGCCGUCGUGCUGACGAAGCUCUCCCUCGAAACUCUACUGGAUCGUGAGUUCGUGGGACGUCGCCGAGCUGAACGUGUGCAGUCCGCGGAGGUGACGUACCUUCGGUGCUAGGAUCGGUCGAUCGUGAAGACGUACGACUACAUCAACCGCGUUAUCAUAACGCUUCCGCUUACGGUCUACGAGGGUACGUUGACAACACUCUCCCCUCUGGUUGCUAUGCAUCACCAUGAUCUUGCGUGUGCGUAGGAAAAUUUUGAAAUUACUACGUUCCCCAACAGUGGCAUCCGAGCCAGGUUUAUGCGUAGAUGUUGUAUGCACGAGUAGAACACAAGUGAGUUGUGGGCGAUACUAGUCAUACUGCUUACCAGCAUGUCAUACUUUGAUUCGGCGGUAUUGUUGGAUGAAGCGGCCCGGACCGACAUUACGCAUACGCUUAUGCGAGACUGGUUCUACCGACGUGCUUCGCACACAGGUGGCUGGCGGGUGUCAGUUUCUCCAAGUUUAGUUGAAUCGAGUGUGGCUACGCCUGGUCCUUGUUGAAGGUUAAAACAGCACAUACUUGACGAAAUAUCGUUGUGGUUUUUGAUGCGUAGGUAAGAACGGUUCUUGCUUAGCCCGUAGCAGCCACAUAAAACUUGCAACAACAAAGUAGAGGACGUCUAACUUGUUUUUGCAGGGCAUGUUGUGAUGUGAUAUCUUCAAGGAAUGAUGCUAUAUUUUAUUGUAUGAGAUGAUGAUGUUUUGUAACGGAGUUAUCGGCAACUGACAGGAGCCAUAUGGUUGUCGCUUUAUUGUAUGCAAUGCAAUCGCCCUAUAAUUGCUUUACUUUAUCACAAAGCGGUAGCGAUAGUCGUAGAAGCAAUAGUCGGCGAGACGACAAAGAUGCUACGACGGAGAUCAAUGUGUCGCGCCGGUGACGAUGGUGAUCAUGACGGUGCUUUGGAGAUGGAGAUCAAAGGAACAAGAUGAUGAUGGCCAUAUCAUAUCACUUGUAUUGAUUGCAUGUGAUGUUUAUCCUUUAUGCAUCUUAUUCUGCUUUGAUUGACGGUAGCAUUAUAAGAUGAUCUCUCACAAAAAUUCAAGGUACAAGUGUUCUCCCUGAGUAUGCACCGUUGCCAAAGUUCGUCGUGCCGAGACACCACGUGAUGAUCGGGUGUGAUAAGCUCAACGUUCUUAUACAACGGGUGUAAGCCAGUUUUGCACACGCAGAAAUACUCAGGUUAAACUUGACGAGCCUAGCAUAUGCAGAUAUGGCCUCGGAACACUGGAGACCGAAAGGUCGAGCGUGAAUCAUAUAGUAGAUAUGAUCAACAUAGUGAUGUUCACCAUUUAAAACUACUCCAUCUCACGUGAUGAUCGGACAUGGUUUAGUUGAUUCACGUGAUCAUUUAGAUGACUAGAGGGAUGUCUAUCUAAGUGGGAGUUCUUAAGUAAUAUGAUUAAUUGAACUUAUUUAUCAUGAACUUAGUCCUGGUAGUAUUAGCAUAUCUAUGUUGUAGAUCAAUAGCUCGCGUUUAGCUCCCCUGUUUUAUUUUUGAUAUGUUCCUAGAGAAAACUAAGUUGAAGAUGUUAGUAGCAAUGAUGCGGAUUGGAUCUGUGAUCUGAGGAUUAUCCUCAUUGUUGCACAGAAGAAUUAUGUCCUUGAUGCACCGCCAAGUGAUAGACCGAUUGCAGGAGCAAAUGCAGACGUUAUGAACGUUUGGCAAGAUCGAUAUGAUGACUACUUGAUAGUUUAGUACACCAUGCUUUACGGCUUAGAAUCGGGGCUUCAAAGACGUUUUUGAAACGCCACGGAGCAUAUGAGAUGUUCCAAGAGUUGGAAUUAGUAUUUCAGACUCAUGCCCAUGUCGAAAGGUAUGAGACCUUUGACAAGUACUUUGCCUACAAGAUGGAGGAGAAUAGCUCAGCCAGUGAGCAUGUGCUCAGAAUGUCUGAGUACUACAAUCACUUGAAUCAAGUGGGAGUUAAUCUUCCAGAUAAGAUAGUGAUUGACAGAGUUCUCUAGUCACUAUCACCAAGUUACUAGAACUUUGUGAUGAACUAUAAUAUGCAAGGGAUAACAGAAACGAUUCCCAAGCUCUUCUUGAUGUUGAAAUCGACGAAGGUAGAAAUCAAGAAAAACAUCAAGUGUUGAUGGUUGACAAGACCACUAGUUUCAAGAAAAGGGCAAAGGGAAGAAGGGGAACUUCAAGAAGAACGGCUAGCAAGUUGCUGCUCAAGUGAAGAAGCCCAAGUCUGGACCUAAGCCUGAGACUGAGUGCUUCUACUGCAAUGGAAAUGGUCACUGGAAGUGGAACUACCCUAGAUACUUGGCGGAUAAGAAGGAUGGCAAGGUGAACAAAGGUAUAUUUGAUAUACAUGAUAUUUAUGUGUACUUUACUAGUGUUUAUAGCAACCCCUCGGUAUUUGAUACUGGUUCAGUUGCUAAGAGUAGUAACUCGAAACGGGAGUUGCAGAAUGAACAGAAACUAGUUAAGGGUGAAGUGACGAUGUGUGUUGGAAGUAGUUCCAAGAUUGAUAUGAUCAUCAUCGCACACUCCCUAUACUUUCGGGAUUAGUGUUGAACCUAAAUAAAUGUUAUUUGGUGUUUUGCGUUGAGCAUGAAUAUGAUUUGAUCAUGUUUAUUGCAAUACGGUUAUUCAUUUAAGUUAGAGAAUAAUUGUUGUUCUAUUUACAUGAAUAAAACUUUCUAUGGUCAUACACCCAAUGAAAAUGGUUUGUUGGAUCUCGAUCGUAGUGAUACACAUAUUCAUAAUAUUGAAGCCAAAAGAUGCAAAGUUAAUAAUGAUAGUGCAACUUAUUUGUGGCACUGCCGUUUUGGUCAUAUUGGUAUAAAACGCAUGAAGAAACCCCAUGCUAAUGGGCUUUUGGAAUCACUUGAUUAUGAAUCACUUGAUGCUUGCGAACCAUGCCUCAUGGGCAAGAUGACUAAAGACUCCGUUCUCUGGAACAAUGGAGCGAGCAACUGACUUAUUGGAAAUAAUACAUACUGAUGUAUGCGGUCCGAUGAGUGUUAAGGCUCGCGGCGGGUAUCGUUAUUUUCUGACCUUCACAGAUGAUUUGAGCAGAUAUGGGAAUAUCUACUUGAUGAAACACAAGUCUGAAACAUUUGAAAAGUUCAAAGAAUUUCAGAGUGAAGUGGAGAAUCAUCGUAACAAGAAAAUAAUAGUUUCUACGAUAUGAUCGCGGAGGUAAAAUAUUUGAGUUACGAGUUUGGUCUUCAGUUAAAACAAUGUGAAAUAGUUUCACUACUCACGCCACCUGGAACACCACAGUGUAAUGGUGUGUCCGAACGUCGUAAUUGUACUUUAUUAGAUAUGGUGCGAUCUCUGAUGUCUCUUACCAAUCUACCACUAUCGUUUUGGGGUUAUGCAUUAGAGACAACUACAUUCACGUUAAAUAGGGCACCGUCUAAAUCCGUGGAGUUGACACCGUAUGAACUGUGGUUUGGCGAGAAACCUAAGCUGUCGUUUCUUAAAGUUUGGGACUGCGAUGCUUAUGUAAAAAAGUUUCAACAUGAUAAGCUCGAACCCAAAUCGGAGAAGUAAAUCUUCAUAGGAUACCCAAAAAGAAACUAUUGGGUACACCUUCUAUCACAGUUCCGAAGGCAAGAUCUUUGUUGCUAAGAAUGGAUCCUUUCCAGAGAAGGAGUUUCUCUCAAAAGAAGUGAGUGGGAGGAAAGUAGAACUUGAUGAGGUAACUGUACCUUCUCCCGAAUUGGAAAGUUGUUCAUCACAGAAAUCAGUUCCAGUGAUGCCUACACCAAUUAGUGAGGAAGUUAAUGAUGAUGAUCAUGAAACUUCAGAUCAAGUUACUACCGAACCUCGUAGGUCAACCAGAGUAAGAUCCGCACCAGAGUGGUACGGUAAUCCUGUUCUGGAGGUCAUGUUACUUGACCAUGACGAACCUACGAACUAUGAGGAAGCGAUGAUGAGCCCAGAUUCCGCGAAAUGGUUUAAGGCCAUGAAAUCUGAGAUAUGAUCCAUGUAUGAGAGAAAGUAUGGACUUUGAUUGACUUGCCUGAUGAUCGGUGAGCCAUUAAGAAUAAAUGGAUAUUCAAGAGGAAGACGGAUGUUGAUAGUAGUGUUACUAUCUACAAAGCUCGAAUUGUCGCAAAAGGUUUUCGACAAGUUCAAGGUGUUGUCUAUGAUGAGAUUUUCUCACUCGUAUCGAUGCUUAAGUCUGUCCGAAUCAUGUUAGCAAUUGCCGCAUUUUAUGAAAUCUGGCAAAUGGAUAAACAAAAUUGCAUUCCUUAAUGGAUUUAUUAAAGAAGAGUUGUAUAUGAUACAACCAGAAGGUUUUGUCAAUCCUAAAGGUGCUAACAAAGUAUGCAAGCUCCAGCGAUCCAUCUAUGGACUGGUGCAAGCAUCUCGGAGUUGGCAUAUACGCUUUGAUAAGUUGAUCAAAGCAUAUAGCUUUAUACAGACUUGCGGUGAAGCCUGUAUUUACAAGAAAGUGAGUGGGAGCACUACAGCCUUUCUGAUAAGUAUAUGUGAAUGACAUAUGGUUGAUUGGAAAAGAUGUAGAGUUUUCUGGAAAGCAUAAAGGAGUGUUUGAAAGGAGUUUUUCAACGAAAGACCUCGGUGAAGCUUCUUACACAUUGAGCAUCAAGAUCUAUAGAGAUAGAUCAAGAACGCCUGAUAAGUUUUUUCAAUGAGUACAUACCUUGACAAGUUUUUGAAGUAGUUCAAAAUGGAACAGUCAAAGAAAGAGUUCUUGCCUGUGUUGCAAGGUGUGAAGUUGAGUAAGACUCAAAACCCGACCACGACAGAAGAUAGAGAGAGAAUGAGAGUCAUUCCCUAUGCCUCAGCCAUAGGUUCUAUAAAGUAUGCCGUGCUGUGUACCAUACCUAUUGUAUACCCUGCCCUGAGUUUGGCAAGGGAGUACAAUAGUGAUCUAGGAGUAGAUCACUGGACAUUGGUCAAAAUUAUCCUUAGAGGACUAAGGAAAUAUUUCUCGGUUAUGGAGGUGAUAAAGAGUUCAUCGUAAAGAGUUACAUCGAUGCAAGCUUUGACACUGAUCUGGAUGACUCUGAGUCUUGAUCUGGAUACAUAUUGAAAGUGGGAGCAUUUGGCUAGAGUAGCUCCGUGCAGAGCAUUGUAGACAUAGAAAUUUGCAAAUUACAUACGGAUCUGAAUGUGACAGACCCGUUGACUAAACUUCUCUCACAAGAUAAACAUGAUCACACCUUAGUACUCUUCGGGUGUUAAUCACAUAGCGAUGUGAACUAGAUUAUUGACUCUAGUAAACCCUUUCGGUAUUGGUCACAUGACGAUGUGAACUAUGGGUGUUAAUCACAUGGUGAUGUGAACUAUUGGUGUUAAAUCACAUGAGGAUGUGAACUAGAUUAUUGACUCUAGUGCAAGUGGGAGACUGAAGGAAAUAUGCCCUAGAGGCAAUAAUAAAGUUAUUAUUUAUUUCCAUAUUUCAUGAUAAAAUGUUUAUUAUUCAUGCUAGAAUUGUAUUAACCGGAAACUUAGUACAUGUGUGAAUACAUAGACAAACAGAGUGUCACUAGUAUGCCUCUACUUGACUAGCUCGUUAAUCAAAGAUGGUUAAGUUUCCUAGCCAUAGACAUGAGUUGUCAUUUGAUGAACGGGAUCACAUCAUUAGAGAAUGAUGUGAUUGACUUGACCCAUCCAUUAUCUUAGCACGAUGAUCGUUUAGUUUGUUGCUAUUGCUUUCUGUUGGGAAUCGUAGCAUAAUUUUAAAAUUUUCCUACGCUCACCAAGAUGCAUCUAUGGAGUAUACUAGCAACGAGGGGAAAGGAGUGCAUCUACAUACCCUUGUAGAUCGCGAGCGGAAGCGUUCCAAUGAACGUGGAUGACGGAGUCGUACUCGCCGUGAUCCAAAUGCGUUCAACACACGUACGGUGCAGCGACGUCUCCUCCUUCUUGAUCCAGCAAGGGGGAAGGAGAGGUUGAUGGAGAUCCAGCAGCACGACGGCGUGGUGGUGGAUGUAGCGGGAUGCCGGCAGGGCUUCGCCGACCAUAUACGAGAGAGAGAGGUGUUGCAGGGGGAGAGGGAGGCGCCCAAGGCUGUAAUGCUACUGCCCUCCCUCCCCCCCUUUAUAUAGGCCCCCUGGGAGGGGGGGCGCUGGCCAGAACCCAUCUAGGGUGGGGGGGGCGGCGGCCAGGGGGGUAACUUACCCCCCAAGGCAAGUGGGAAGCCCCCCCACCCUAGGGUUCCCAACCCUAGGCGCAUGGGGGGAGGCCCAUGGGGGGGCGCCCAACCCACUAGGGGCUGGUUCCCUUCCCACUUCAGCCCACGGGGCCCUCCGGGAUAGGUGGCCCCACCCGGUGGACCCCUGGGACCCUUCCGGUGGUCCCGGUACAAUACCGGUAACCCCCGAAACUUUCCCGGUGGCCGAAACUUGACUUCCUAUAUAUAAUUCUUUACCUCCGGACCAUUCCGGAACUCCUCGUGACGUCCGGGAUCUCAUCCGGGACUCCUAACAACUUUCGGGUUUCCGCAUACACAUAUCUCUACAACCCUAGCGUCACCGAACCUUAAGUGUGUAGACCCUACGGGUUCGGGAGACAUGCAGACAUGACCGAGACGCCUCUCCGGUCAAUAACCAACAACGGGAUCUGGAUACCCAUGUUGGCUCCCACAUGUUCCACGAUGAUCUCAUCGGAUGAACCACGAUGUCGAGGAUUCAAUCAAUCCCGUAUACAAUUCCCUUUGUCAAUCGGUAUGUUACUUGCCCGAGAUUCGAUCGUCGGUAUCCCAAUACCUUGUUCAAUCUCGUUACCGGCAAGUCUCUUUACUCGUACCGUAAUGCAUGAUCCCGUGACUAACGCCUUAGUCACAUAGAGCUCAUUAUGAUGAUGCAUUACCGAGUGGGCCCAGAGAUUCCUCUCCGUCAUACGGAGUGACAAAUCCCAGUCUCGAUCCGUGCCAACCCAACAGACACUUUCGAAGAUACCCGUAGUGCACCUUUAUAGUCACCCAGUUACGUUGUGACGUUUGGCACACCCAAAGCACUCCUACGGUAUCCGGGAGUUGCACGAUCUCAUGGUCUAAGGAAAAGAUACUUGACAUUGGAAAAGCUCUAGCAAACGAAACUACACGAUCUUUUAUGCUAUGCUUAGGAUUGGGUCUUGUCCAUCACAUCAUUCUCCUAAUGAUGUGAUCCCGUUAUCAAUGACAUCCAAUGUCCAUAGUCAGGAAACCAUGACUAUCUGUUGAUCAACGAGCUAGUCAACUAGAGGCUUACUAGGGACACGUUGUGGUCUAUGUAUUCACACAUGUAUUACGAUUUCCGGACAAUACAAUUAUAGCAUGAACAAUAGACAAUUACCAUGAACAAAGAAAUAUAAUAAUAACCAUUUAUUAUUGCCUCUAGGGCAUAUUUCCAACAGUCUCCCACUUGCACUAGAGUCAAUAAUCUAGUUACAUUGUGAUGAAUCGAACACCCAUUGCGUCCUGGUGUUGAUCAUGUUUUGCCCUAGGGAGAGGUUUAGUCAACGGAUCUGCUACAUUCAGGUCCGUAUGUACUUUACAAAUAUCUAUGUCUCCAUUUUCAACACUUUCACGAAUGGAGUUGAAGCGACGCUUGAUAUGCCUAGUCUUCCUGUGAAACCUGGGCUCCUUCGCAAGUGCAAUAGCUCCAGUGUUGUCACAGAAGAGAGUCAUCGGGCCCGACGCAUUGGGAAUCACCCCUAGGUCGGUAAUGAACUCCUUCAUCCAGACCGCUUCCUGUGCUGCCUCCGAGGCUGCCAUGUACUCCGCUUCACAUGUAGAUCCCGCCACGACGCUUUGCUUGCAACUGCACCAGCUUACUGCUCCUCCAUUCAAAAUAUACACGUAUCCGGUUUGUGACUUCGAGUCAUCCAGAUCCGUGUCGAAGCUAGCGUCGACGUAACCCUUUACGACGAGCUCUUCGUCACCUCCAUAAACGAGAAACAUAUCCUUGGUCCUUUUCAGGUACUUCAGGAUAUUCUUGACCGCUGCCCAGUGUUCCAUGCCGGGAUUACUUUGGUACCUUCCUACCAAACUUACGGCAAGGUUUACAUCAGGUCUGGUACACAGCAUGGCAUAUAUAAUAGACCCUAUGGCCGAGGCAUAGGGGAUGACACUCAUCUUUUCUCUAUCUUCUGCCGUGGUCGGGCAUUGAGCCGUGCUCAAUUGCACACCUUGCAAUAUAGGCAAGAACCCCUUCUUGGACUGAUCCAUAUUGAACUUCUUCAAUAUGUUGUCAAGGUAUGUACUCUGUGAAAGACCAAUGAGGCGUCUUGAUCUAUCUCUAUAGAUCUUGAUGCCUAAUAUAUAAGCAGCUUCUCCAAGGUCCUUCAUUGAAAAACACUUAUUCAAAUAGGCCUUUAUACUUUCCAAGAAUUCUAUAUCAUUGCCCAUCAAUAGUAUGUCAUCCACAUAUAAUAUGAGAAAUGCUACAGAGCUCCCACUCACUUUCUUGUAAACACAGGCUUCUCCAUAAGUCUGUGUAAACCCAAACGCUUUGAUCAUUUCAUCAAAGCGAAUGUUCCAACUCCGAGAUGCCUGCACCAGCCCAUAGAUUGAGCGCUGGAGCUUGCAUACUUUGUUAGCAUUCUUAGGAUCGACAAAACCUUCCGGCUGCAUCAUAUACAACUCUUCCUUAAGGAAGCCAUUAAGGAAUGCCGUUUUGACGUCCAUCUGCCAUAUCUCAUAAUCAUAGUAUGCGGCAAUUGCUAACAUGAUUCGGACGGACUUCAGCUUCGCUACGGGUGAGAAAGUCUCAUCGUAGUCAACCCCUUGAACUUGUCGAUAACCCUUAGCGACAAGUCGAGCCUUAUAGAUGGUCACAUUACCAUCCGCGUCUGUCUUCUUCUUAAAGAUCCAUUUGUUUCCUAUGGCUCGCCGAUCAUCGGGCAAGUCAGUCAAAGUCCAUACUUCGUUUUCAUACAUGGAUCCUAUCUCGGAUUUCAUGGCUUCUAGCCAUUUGUCGGAAUCCGGGCCCGCCAUCGCUUCUUCAUAGUUCGAAGGUUCACCGUUGUCUAACAACAUGAUUUCCAGGACAGGGUUGCCGUACCACUCUGGUGCAUAACGUGUCCUUGUGGACCUACGAAGUUCAGUAGUAACUUGAUCCGAAGCUUCAUGAUCAUCAUCAUUAACUUCCGCGCCAGUCGGUGUAGGCACCACAGGAACAUCUUCUCACGCUGCGCUACUUUCCGGUACGGAAGGGGUGACUAUCACCUCAUCAAGUUCCACUUUCCUCCCACUCAAUUCUUUCGAGAGAAACUCCUUCUCUAGAAAGGACCCGUUCUUUGCAACGAAGAUCUUGCCUUCGGAUCUGAGGUAGAAGGUAUACCCAAUAGUUUCCUUGGGGUAUCCUAUGAAGACGCAUUUUUUCGAUUUGGGUUCGAGCUUUUCAGGUUGAAGUUUCUUGACAUAAGCAUCGCAUCCCCAAACUUUUAGAAACGACAGCUUAGGUUUCUUUCCAAACCAUAAUUCAUACGGUGUCGUCUCAACGGAUUUCGACGGUGCCCUAUUUAAAGUGAAUGCGGCAGUCUCUAAAGCAUAGCCCCAAAAUGAGAGUGGUAAAUCGGUAAGAGACAUCAUAGAUCGCACCAUAUCCAAUAGAGUGCGAUUACGACGUUCGGACACACCGUUUCUCUGAGGUGUUCCAGGCGGCGUGAGUUGUGAAACUAUUCCACAUUUCCUUAAGUGUGCACCAAACUCGUGACUUAAAUAUUCUCCACCACGAUCUGAUCGUAAGAAUUUUAUUUUCCUGUCACGUUGAUUCUCAACCUCACUCUGAAAUUCCUUGAACUUUUCAAAGGUUUCAGACUUGUGUUUCAUUAGGUAGACAUACCCAUAUCUACUUAAGUCAUCAGUGAGAGUGAGAACAUAACGAUAUCCUCCGCGAGCCUCAACACUCAUUGGACCGCACACAUCGGUAUGUAUGAUUUCCAAUAAGUUGGUUGCUCGCUCCAUUGUUCCGGAGAACGGAGUCUUGGUCAUCUUACCCAUGAGGCAUGGUUCGCACGUGUCAAAUGAUUCGUAAUCAAGAGACUCCAAAAGUCCAUCUGCAUGGAGCUUCUUCAUGCGCUUGACACCAAUGUGACCAAGGCGGCAGUUCCACAAGUAUGUGGGACUAUCGUUAUCAACUUUACAUCUUUUGGUAUUCACACUAUGAAUAUGUGUAACAUCUCAUUCGAGAUUCAUCAAAAAUAAACCAUUGACCAGCGGGGCAUGACCAUAAAACAUACCUCUCAAAUAAAUAGAACAACCAUUAUUCUCGGAUUUAAAUGAGUAGCCAUCUCGAAUUAAACGAGAUCCAGAUACAAUGUUCAUGCUCAAAGCUGGCACUAAAUAACAAUUAUUGAGGUUUAAAACUAAUCCCGUGGGUAGAUGCAGAGGUAGCGUGCCGACGGCGAUCACAUCGACCUUGGAACCAUUCCCGACGCGCAUCGUCACCUCGUCCUUCGCCAGUCUCCGUUUAUUCCGUAGUUCCUGUUUUGAGUUACAAAUAUGAGCAACCGCACCGGUAUCAAAUACCCAGGAGCUACUAUGAGUACUGGUAAGGUACACAUCAAUUACAUGUAUAUCACAUAUACCUUUGGUGUUGCCGGCCUUCUUGUCCGCUAAGUAUUUGGGGCAGUUCCGCUUCCAGUGACCACUUCCCUUGCAAUAAAAGCACUCAGUUUCAGGCUUGGGUCCAUUCUUUGGCUUCUUCCCAGUAACUGGCUUACCGGGCGCGGCAACUCCCUUGCCGUCCUUCUUGAAGUUCUUCUUACCCCUGCCCUUCUUGAACUUAGUGGUUUUAUUCACCAUCAACACUUGAUGUUCUUUUCUGAUCUCCCCCUCCGCUGAUUUCAGCAUUGAAUAUACCUCAGGAAUGGUCUUUUCCAUCCCCUGCAUAUUGUAGUUCAUCACAAAGCUCUUGUAGCUUGGUGGAAGCGACUGGAGGAUUCUGUCAAUGACUGCGUCAUCCGAGAGAUUAACUCCCAGCUGAGUCAAGCGGUUGUGCAACCCAGACAUUCUGAGUAUGUGCUCACUAACAGAACUAUUCUCCUCCAUCUUACAGUUGAAGAACUUGUCGGAGACUUCAUAUCUCUCGACCCGGGCAUGAGCUUGGAAAACCAAUUUCAGCUCCUCGAACAUCUCAUAUGCUCCAUGUUUCUCAAAACGCUUUUGGAGACCCGGUUCUAAGCUGUAAAGCAUGCCGCACUGAACGAGGGAGUAAUCAUCAGCACGUGAUUGCCAAGCGUUCAUAACGUCUUGGUUCUCAGGGAUUGGUGCUUCACCUAGCGGUGCUUCUAAGACAUAAUCUUUCUUGGCUACUAUGAGGAUGAUCCUCAGGUUCCGGACCCAGUCCGUAUAGUUGCUGCCAUCAUCUUUCAGCUUGGUUUUCUCUAGGAACGCGUUGAAAUUGAGGACAACGUUGGCCAUUAGAUCUACAAGACAUAGUGUAAAGAUUUUAGACUAAGUUCAUGAUAAUUAAGUUCAUCUAAUCAAAUUACUCAAUGAACUCCCACUCAGAUAGACAUCCCUCUAGUCAUCUAAGUGAAACAUGAUCCGAGUUAACUAGGCCGUGUCCGAUCAUCACGUGAGAUGAACUAGUCAAGAUCGGUGAACAUCUCCAUGUUGAUCGUAUCUUCUAUACGACUCAUGCUCGACCUUUCGGUCCUCCGUGUUCCGAGGCCAUGUCUGUACAUGCUAGGCUCGUCAAGUCAACCUAAGUGUAUUGCGUGUGUUCCGAGGCCAUGUCUGUACAUGCUAGGCUCGUCAACACCCGUUGUAUGCGAACGUUAGAAUCUAUCACACCCGAUCAUCACGUGGUGCUUCGAAACAACGAACCUUCGCAACGGUGCACAGUUAGGGUGAACACUUUCUUGAAAUUAUUAUAAGGGAUCAUCUUACUUACUACCGUCAUUCUAAGCAAAUAAGAUGCAAAAACAUGAUAAACAUCACAUGCAAUCAAAUAGUGACAUGAUAUGGCCAAUAUCAUUAUGCUCCUUUGAUCUCCAUCUUCGGGGCACCAUGAUCAUCUUCGUCACCGGCAUGACACCAUGAUCUCCAUCAUCAUGAUCUCCAUCAUUGUGUCUUCAUGAAGUCGUCACGCCAACGAUUACUUCUACUUCUAUGGCCAACGCGUUUAGCAACAAAGUAAAGUAAUUUACAUGGCGUUAUUCAAUGACACGCAGGUCAUGCAAAAUAAUAAAGACAACUCCUAUGGCUCCUGCCGGUUGUCAUACUCAUCGACAUGCAAGUUGUGAUUCCUAUUACAAGAAUAUGAUCAAUCUCAUACAUCACAUAUAUCAUUCAUCACAUCUUCUGGCCAUAUCACAUCACAUAACAUAUGCUGCAAAAACAAGUUAGACGUCCUCUAAUUGUUGUUGCAAGUUUUUACGUGGUUUGUAGGUUUCUAGCAAGAACGUUUCUUACCUACGUAUGACCACAACGUGAUUGCCAAUUUCUAUUUACCCUUCAUAAGGACCCUUUUCAUCGAAUCCGUUCCGACUAAAGUAGGAGAGACAGCCACCCGCUAGCCACCUUAUGCAACUAGUGCAUGUCAGUCGGUGGAACCUGUCUCACGUAAGCGUACGUGUAAGGUCGGUCCGGGCCGCUUCAUCCUACAAUGCCGCCGAAACAAGAAACGACUAGUAGCGGCAAGAAGAAUUGGCAACAUCAACGCCCACAACUUCUUUGUGUUCUACUCGUGCAUAGUAACUACGCAUAGGCCUGGCUCAUGAUGCCACUGUUGGGAAUCGUAGCAUAAUUUUAAAAUUUUCCUACGCUCACCAAGAUGCAUCUAUGGAUUAUACUAGCAACGAGGGGAAAGGAGUGCAUCUACAUACCCUUGUAGCUCGCGAGCGGAAGCGUUCCAAUGAACGUGGAUGACGGAGUCGUACUCGCCGUGAUCCAAAUCACCGAUGACCGAGUGCCGAACGGACGGCACCUCCGCGUUCAACACACGUAAGGUGCAGCGACGUCUCCUCCUUCUUGAUCCAGCAAGGGGGAAGGAGAGGUUGAUGGAGAUCCAGCAGCACGACGGCGUGGUGGUGGAUGUAGCGGGAUGCCGGCAGGGCUUCGCCGACCAUAUACGAGAGAGAGAGGUGUUGCAGGGGGAGAGGGAGGCGCCCAAGGCUGUAAUGCUACUGCCCUCCCUCCCCCCUUUAUAUAGGCCCCCUGGGAGGGGGGGGGGGCGCCGGCCAGAACCCAUCUAGGGUGGGGGGCCGGCGGCCAGGGGGGUAACUUACCCCCCAAGGCAAGUGGGAAGCCCCCCCACCCUAGGGUUCCCAACCCUAGGCGCAUGGGGGGAGGCCCAUGGGGGGGCGCCCAGCCCACUAGGGGCUGGUUCCCUUCCCACUUCAGCCCACGGGGCCCUCCGGGAUAGGUGGCCCACCCGGUGGACCCCCGGGAUCCUUCCGGUGGUCCCGGUACAAUACCGGUAACCCCCGAAACUUUCCCGGUGGCCGAAACUUGACUUCCUAUAUAUAAUUCUUUACCUCCGGACCAUUCCGGAACUCCUCGUGACGUCCGGGAUCUCAUCCGGGACUCCGAACAACUUUCGGGUUUCCGCAUACACAUAUCUCUACAACCCUAGCGUCACCGAACCUUAAGUGUGUAGACCCUACGGGUUCGGGAGACAUGCAGACAUGACCGAGACGCCUCUCCGGUCAAUAACCAACAACGGGAUCUGGAUACCCAUGUUGGCUCCCACAUGUUCCACGAUGAUCUCAUCGGAUGAACCACAAUGUCGAGGAUUCAAUCAAUCCCGUAUACAAUUCCCUUUGUCAAUCGGUAUGUUACUUGCCCGAGAUUCGAUCGUCGGUAUCCCAAUACCUUGUUCAAUCUCGUUACCGGCAAGUCUCUUUACUCGUACCAUAAUGCAUGAUCCCGUGACUAACGCGUUAGUCACAUAGAGCUCAUUAUGAUGAUGCAUUACCGAGUGGGCCCAGAGAUACCUCUCCGUCAUACGGAGUGACAAAUCCCAGUCUCGAUCCGUGCCAACCCAACAGACACUUUCGGAGAUACCCGUAGUGCACCUUUAUAGUCACCCAGUUACGUUGUGACGUUUGGCACACCCAAAGAACUCCUACGGUAUCCGGGAGUUGCACGAUCUCAUGGUCUAAGGAAAAGAUACUUGACAUUGGAAAAGCUCUAGCAAACGAAACUACACGAUCUUUUAUGCUAUGCUUAGGAUUGGGUCUUGUCCAUCACAUCAUUCUCCUAAUGAUGUGAUCCCGUUAUCAAUGACAUCCAAUGUCCAUAGUCAGGAAACCAUGACUAUCUGUUGAUCAACGAGCUAGUCAACUAGAGGCUUACUAGGGACACGUUGUGGUCUAUGUAUUCACACAUGUAUUACGAUUUCCGGACAAUACAAUUAUAGCAUGAACAAUAGACAAUUACCAUGAACAAAGAAAUAUAAUAAUAACCAUUUAUUAUUGCCUCUAGGGCAUAUUUCCAACACUUUCUUCAUGACUUAUACAUGUUCCUAUGACUAUGAGAUUAUGCAACUCCCGAAUACCGGAGGAACACUUUGUGUGCUACCAAACGUCACAACGUAACUAGGUGAUUAUAAAGGUGCUCUACAGGUGUCUCUGAUGGUGUUUGUUGAGUUGGCAUAGAUCGAGAUUAGGUUUUGUCACUCUGAUUGUCAGAGAGGUAUCUCUAGGCCCUCUCGGUAAUGCACAUCACUAUAAGCCUUGCAAGCAAUGUGACUAAUGAGUUACUUGCGGGAUGAUGUAUUACGGAACGAGUAAAGAGACUUGCCGGUAACGAGAUUGAACUAGGUAUUGAGAUACCGACGAUCGAAUCUCGGGCAAGUAACAUACCGAUGACAAAGGGAACAACGUAUGUUGUUAUGCGGUUUGACCGAUAAAGAUCUUCGUAGAAUAUGUGGGAUCCAAUAUGAGCAUUCAGGUUCCGCUAUUGGUUAUUGACCAGAGACGUGUCUCGGUCAUGUCUACAUAGUUCUCGAACCCGUAGGGUCCGCACGCUUAACGUUCGGUGACGAUCGGUAUUAUGAGUUUAUGUGAUUUGAUGUACCGAAGGUAGUUCGGAGUCCCGGAUAUGAUCACGGACAUGACGAGGAGUCUCGAAAUGGUCGAGACAUAAAGAUCGAUAUAUUGGACGACUAUAUUUGGACAUCGGAAUGGUUCCGGGUGAAAUUGGGAUUUUACGAGAGUACCGAGAGGUUACUGGAACCCCCCGGUAAGUGUAUGGGCCUUAUUGGGCCUUAGUGGAAUAGAGGAGGAGGAAGCUUAGGAGGGGGCACGGCCCCCCAAGCCCAAUCCGAAUUGGGUGAGGGGGCCGGCCCCCCUUUCCUUCCUCUCUCCCUCCUCUUUCCUACCUCUCCUACUCCAACUUGGAAGGGGGGGGGGGGGAAUCCUACUCCGGUGGGAGUAGGACUCCCCUAUGGCGCGCCCUAGAGAGGGCCGGCCCUCCCCCUCCUCUACUCCUUUAUAUACGAGGGAGGGGGCACCCCAUAGACACACAAGUUGACCAUUGAUCUCUUGCCGUGUGCGGUGCCCCCUCCACCAUAAUCCAGCUCGGUCAUAUCGUAGCGGUGCUUAGGCGAAGCCCUGCGUCAGUAACUUCAUCAUCACCGUCAUCACGCCGUCGUGCUGACGAAGCUCUCCCUCGAAGCUCUACUGGAUCGUGAGUUCGUGGGACGUCGCCGAGCUGAACGUGUGCAGUCCGCGGAGGUGCCGUACCUUCGGUGCUAGGAUCGGUCGAUCGUGAAGACGUACGACUACAUCAACCACGUUAUCAUAAUGCUUCCGCUUACGGUCUACGAGGGUACGUAGACAACACUCUCCCCUCUGGUUGCUAUGCAUCACCAUGAUCUUGCGUGUGCGUAGGAAAAUUUUGAAAUUACUACGUUCCCCAACAGGUAGCCUGUAUAUGCCUACCACCAUGGCCCCUGGCGGUAGGUGAAAGUGUCAGAUCCCGAAAUGGUUUCGAACAUGGGUCAGAUCUCGAUUUUCUUUGACAAAAGGGUCAAAACACGAAAUUUUGCCUCCCUACAACCCUCGGCUUGCUGCCCCAUGCAGAACCUCGUCGGUUGGCCGUUGUGCCGAUUCCAUCUUGGCUUGUGUUGGUUGCAGCAUCUCGGCUUGUCGCUUGCAGCUGGUUGUGGCUUGUCGUUGCAAGGUUACAACAUCCCCUAUGGCGCGGCAGUGGCUCAGGCGCUUUCUAGCAAAACUUUUCGCAGAGAAAAAGCACCAUCAUUGCGGAUUCCUAGCAAAAUCCAUUGUCAGUUCCAGCAAAAAUUGUCAUCGGUCGCAGCAAAAAGCACCAAUGUUGCGGAUCCCUAGCAAAGUCAGUCACCUGUUCCAGCAAAAAAUGUCACCGGUCGCAGCAAAAUACAUUGUCUAUCAAAACAAAAAGCAUCACCGUGAGAUUGACCUGGGCCUCUUGGGUGUUUAACCAAGCACAUGUUGAGCCCUUUAACAUAAGGAUUAAGAGUUUGACAGUGUGCCGAUCAUCACCAUUAGCCACCUGGGAUAUGAGGAGGUAAAAUAUGUUACCCAAAAUCUCAGGGUCCGCUUCCGUUGUACUUGUCCAUCGUGUUUAUCAUGAAGCUAAAUGCAAACUUGUAGCAAACAUUCUCGUCGAUGAAGCAUGCCAUUGCUUGUCAUCGAAAGCUGGUUGGUUUGGAUCCUGAGCAUUCUGGCGCAGCCGAUGUGCAUGCUACUACUCGGUUUCUCUCAGGGAAGGGUCACACGAUACGUUCAGGCUAUGGGGCAUCCCCCGAUUCGCCUUGGGAUGAUAUAUGGACGUGGAGACACAUAGGUGGUCCCGGUGUGACUCUUGGACAGGGCCUAAUUAUCCCGCUGGAUCAUCACCGUCUUCAGAUACUCCAUCCCUUGCUCGAACCUCCGCUUGUCCGGAUGCCCCUUUGGGAAUUGUGUCAUGAUCAAGGCUCCUCCCUCUACCUGCAUAUUCUUGGCCGGAGUGCGAUAGGACUCUGCGCCCGCCUGGAUCAACAACGUUCACGAGUGCCUCUUUCACCCGUCUACUUUAGGAAGGCAAAAAACACAUAUUUGACCUGUUGGCUAAAUCAAUUCACGAUCUGAACUGCUCUUGAAAAAAAUUCACAAACUGACCAUUUUGUGUGACGCCUGACAGACGGGCGCUGCACUACACUAUGCAGCGCCUUUGUCUUAGGGGCCAGGCGCGGCCCCACAUCCAACCGUGCAGCGCCUAAGCGCUAGGCGCCACACAGUAUCAUGUGCAGCGCCUAGCGCUUAGGCGCUGCACAUUGACUUAAGCCGCAUCGGGCCAGCCCUCCCCAGACAGUUCUUCCCUCCCAGGCAGUUGCUCUCUGUCAACAGAGAGCAGCGGCGGCGCCCCCUUUGAUCCCCCCACACCCCUCUCAGAUCUGGAGAUUUCAGCUGUGGAAUCGAUCUCUAAUCCCUCCUACUAGGUAAACUCCUCCGUUCCCUUUCUUUUCCUCUGUAAAUUUGUUGCCAUUUUUAGAGAUUUGUCCAAGAUUGGGCGGAACCCUUGAUUUGCUUGGUUUGGAUCUUUAUUUGUCCAAGAUUGGGUGUUGUGAUUUAGGAUGUGUAGUCAUAGUGGUACUACCCUAGUAUUGUUCAUUAGUUCAUAAUAUAUGAUUCUUGUUAGUGAAACCCUAGAUUGUUUAGUUUUUUAGAUAUAUAUGAGAUGCCUAGUUUUGUAGAUAAUUAUGAGAUGUUGAGUUUUGUAGCUAUAUAUGAGAUGUUGAGUUUUUUUAGAUAUAUAUGAGAUGUUGAGUUUAUUUGAAAUAUGAGAUGUUGAGUUUAUUUUUAGAUACAUAUGACAUAGGAGAUAUAUAUGAGAAUUUUUCAAAUUGGUAUUGUAGAUCAUUUAUUCAUUGUGUGAGAAGGAGAUGUUGAGAUUCUUGUAGAUGAAUACAUAUGAGAUGUUUAGAUGAACACAUAUGAGAUGUUUAGUGUAUACGGAUAUUUGAGAUGAACUCAUAUAUGUUUAUUGUUUGAACUUUGUAAGGAUGGUUUGCCUUCUCGAUGAUGCCUAUGACACACGACACCGGGCCUACAUGAUGCGCGAGAAGGGGAUGGUAAUAAUGAGUAAUCUAAAUAUUUUGCAAAUUUGCCUUUAGUUGAAAUUGACACGCCCUAAGAUUUGUCAUUACUUGUUUUUUGCAGAAGCUUGAACCUCUGAAGAUUCGGUAUCACGGGGUCUCUGGUGCUGCCAUGCCCGACGAUGAGCGGUACACACCCUACAUCCAGCAAGCAGGACUCCUCCCGUGGAUUCAGUUGGUCAGCUGGUCCACGCCGAACCUCAACGCUCCACUGGUGUCCUCUCUUGCUGAUCGGUGGAGGCCGGAGACGCGCAGUUUCCAUCUUCGGACCGGGAGAUGACCGUGACGCUCCAGGAUGUCUCCUUGAUCACUGGUCUUCCUAUCGACGGGAGGCCUCUCUGUAUGAGUACCGAUUCUGAUGGGUGGCGCCAGCAGAUGACUGCUCUUAUCGGUUUGGCUCCUAUCGGGGCUGAGGCUGAUGUAGAAGAGGGACAAGAGAAGAAGAAGAAGGAAAGGAAAGCAGCCGGAGCUGCUUUCACGUGGAUUCAAGCAAACUUUGCGCAUUGCCCUGUGGAUGCCACUGAUGAUGUGAUCCAGACACAUGCUUGUGUCUAUAUGUGGUACGUUAUCUCGAGGAUUUUGUUUCCUGACGCCACAAGGAAGAACGCUCCAUGGAUGUGGCUGAAGGCGUUGACCGUCUUCGAUAGCAGAUGGAGCUGGGGUUCAGCGACUCUUGCCUACUUGUACCGACAGGUAGUUGGUUUGUUUUGUUAUCAAUUCAUUUAUUCAUUAGCAAUGCAACCUUGCUGUCAAGUUAACAUUGUUUUCUUUGAUAUGCAGCUGGACGAUGCGUGUUGCAGGAUCACAAAUAGUGCAUGCAUUGGUGGUAAUCUGCUUCUACUUUCAGUAUGGAGCUGGGAGCGUCUGCCUGUUGGACGCCCGAAGAGCGUCAAGUUUAAUCCUUUGGAUGUAGAUGACGAAUUACGAUGCCCCACUUGGGCUUACAAGUGGGAUGUGGUAUCCGAGAUGACAAACGAUGUCAAUCUCAUGCACCAAAAGUACAUUGCCGAGUUGUACACAAUUAUGCCUGAGCAGGUAACGAGGACAUUACAACAGUCAUUUCUCAUGCUUGCCUGAAAACUUGUCAUCAAUGUUGCGUUGUUGUCCUAUUUCAUAGGUGGAAUGGCAGCCAUAUGGCGCCAAUGACACAGUAGGGUUCACUGACAUGUUUGUCGUCAACCCGAUGUGCUUGCGGGAUAGGGAUCUUUGGCUUAUGCGGUGCCCACUGAUAUGCAACUGGGUGGUUGAGCUUCAUUUGCCACAUCGCGUGUAUCAUCAGUUUGGUCUGUUCCAGCCUCACCCGCCGGAAUGGGUGGACACGGACAAAGCAUUUCAUAGGUAAGAGAGCAUGAACCAUAUUGACUAAGCAUCGCCACUCCUUCUUGAUUGUGCUAAUGUUUGGUUUUCUACCGUGCAGGUUGGACAGUAGAAAGCAGCGGAAGAUAAAUGACUAGGACAAGCAUCAUUCAUCGUAUGUUACCCAUUUCCAUCUUAGUGUGGAGCAAGCUCGUAACAGUGCAUACGCCCAGCUUCGUGAGCAUAGCUCACUUGCUUUCGAUAACUACAUACGAUGGUUUCUUGAAAAUGCUCGAGUUGAGAUAUGCCCGCUGGCAUACAAUGAUGAUAUUCUUGAAGAUCCCGCAAACUUUGAGGAUAUAUCGAAGCAUCAGUACAAAAAAAUGUCAGGGAAGGGGUAGGAGUCCCUGCUGUUCCGGUGAUUAACUAUGUGGUAAAGUGUUCCCUUCUUUACUUUCCCGUUGGCCGUAUUACACAUGUUUGAAUGGCUAACGUGUUACUUCGUUCUCAUCCGCAGCGCAACCAGAUCAAGAAAGCAGCCGAUGAAAGCCAGUCUAUUCUGGAGAAGACACCGGUUGGAGAAGGCAAUGAUGAAGGUCCACUACAAAAAUUCCUCAAGGUACAUAUCACACUCAGGUGUCCAUGUUACAUAUGUUGCGGAGUUGGGUAUCUUAUACACUUGUUCAUGUUACAGCGUCAGGCCAAGAAGUUAAGGCGGUUAUCGAACCUUCUUGGUUGCCGUGACCUAGAAUAUGAUGAACCAUCUGCCUCUAGGUCUGGUACACCAUCAGACCCCUUAUCUCACCAGCAGGGGGACGAUGUGACUUCCUCAUAUGCUUAUGUGGAUGAUGAGGGUGCGGUCACCCAAGAGGUAUGACUAAUCUUUUAGAUGCAAUUCUCACUUGAUUACGACGCCGGUACCAUAUUGUUUGAUUGUGUGAUAGGUUGAUGGACUUGAUGAUGACAUUACUUUGGCGGACCUCAAGUUCGGUCCGCAUACAUGUUGAAGCGUAGGCAGCCCAUAAGCCGGUUCACGCCCACCGACUUGGACAACAGAGGCAACCCAAAGGUGGUCAUAGGGAGCUCGCAGAUGGCGAGCUUGGAUGAUGAGGCGGAGGAGGAAGAGGAGGCUCCUCCUGCCAGAAGGAAGAAGAUAACCACCAGGCGUGGCCGCAGGAACACGCGCGGAAGGCAUUAAUCGUUGUCGUUUUUAUUAUGAAACUGAACUUGUCGUCGUUUCAUUAGGUUUAUGAACUUGUGAGGUUAUGUGAUAUGUUAGUGAACUCUUAGUAGUGUGCUACUUGUGUUUGCGAACUUGUCGUUGUGAAUUGUCUUAAAUGAUGUGAUGUUCAAGUUAUUACUUGUGUUUGUUCAAAUUGCUAUGAAGUUCAAGUUAUUGUAAGUGUUGUGAUGUUCAAGCGAAUUGAAAUUGCUGUCAACGACUUCUCUUUUUGCAGUUUUGCAGUUUCCAGAUGUGCAGCGCCCAGGGCUCAGGCGCUGCACUAUACUGUGUAGCGCCCAACAGUCAGGCCCUCACACAUUGCUCAAAGGCCCAAAAUGCACGGCCAAAUACUCGGACGGUCCUCCCGUUGUGAAUCAAUGUUUGGUGCCCAUGAGGCUCGACCACGUGAACCAUGCCUGGGUUUGUGGCAGCCAUAGCUAACAACAACCUAGGGAGUCGGUUGUAUAAUUCCUCCCAAUUGCCAUACAACAUCUUGAAUGUGGCUUGCUUCGCCUUCCAUGCCUUGCCGUACUUCACCUUGUAAUGAAAGAUGGCUUUCACAAGGUCAAUGACACUCUUAAUGCUCAUUGUUGGAAGUGUGGGUAUUUGGUUGAAAAACCUGUAAGCGAUGAACUCGGACUUGUGUUGUCUGUGUUCUUGGGACACAAGCUUGCCAUCCGCAUUCUUGUGUCGGCACAUAUGACUUGGUACACAACUCACUAUGCGCCAAGUGGGACCUCCUUUCCAUGGACUUGCACGCACAAUCCAUGGACAUCUUGGCACUUCACAUUUAACCGUGUAACACACAUUGACGUUCGAGUUUGCCACUCUAUGUGGACGAUAAUGCGUAACCAAGUAGUUGUCGAGCCACAUCUUCAAUUCCAAGAAGGAUUCAAACUCACAACCGUGAUAUAUCCCGUUCUUGCCGUCUUCCAAAUCAUGGUGAGAACUUGGCCUACCUCCAAGAGAUAUACAUUUGCCACCACCUACACCGGCUUCAUCCGCAAGACUAAGAUCCUUGAACAAUGGUGUCUUGUGAUCCCGCCGGAAUACCUUCUUAAAUGCUCCGACCUCCUUCGCCAUGAACCCCUCCUCAUCAACUUCUUCAUCGGGACCAUCGUCAUCCGAGUCCGAUGCAUAUGAACGGGAAAAAGGGAUGGAUUGGUCCAUUGUCUCUUGCACAUGAUAUUUGUUGAGAUCACCCACAUUGUUGUCAUGGAGAUCAACUUCGUUGUCAUCCUCCUCGUACUCAUCAUUCUCCUCUUCAAAAGCUUCAUUUUGGUUGUUUGAAAUCAGGCUCAAUGUUGGCCAAACUUGUUGCGUCAAAUGAGGUUCACUCAUUUGAUCUUGGUUCAUGGGUGAGGGAGUACUAGCAACCAACGGGGAGGGGUUCCAGUUCAAGUCCAAAUGCAAACUAGACUCAACCUUCUUGGAGGCAAAUAACUCAAGAGCCUUGUCUAGAGAUUCGGCAACCGUCUCCUUGUAUGCAACCCAGCGUUGCUCGGAGUUCACACGCAUUGUCUUCCAACAGAUGUGCAUUCCAAAACAAACAUUAUGCCUUCCCUCCAACUCAACAACGUCACUUGGGUCCAUCCAAUUUAAAUCCUUCCUCACUUGUUCCAAGACAUCCGCAUAGUUAGGACUACUCUCAAACACCAUGUCAAGCUCAUCCGGGUCCGACUCAACAUUGCCUUUCAAAAGGCCUCUUUAUCCACAUGAUGAACAUAAACACAUGUUCUUCCCAUCCCUAAAAUAAUCAAAAACACACAUAUAUCAAAUAAGUACUUAACCGAAUAUUUGCACAAAAUACAUAAGCCCUAACAUAGAUAUGAAACAAUAACCCUAACCCCAACUUAACAAUAACCACAACCCUAACCAUAGCAUAACCCUAACCCUAACCCCAACAUAACAACACACAUAACCCUAACCCUAGCAUAGUAGGAAGCCUAACCCUAGCAAAUUGGCAAAGAAACAUAACAUGUUCCAACACAAAUUUCCAAAUCAAAGCCAAAACUAGGGUUUUCCCAAACUAGCAAGAUUUGAGCAAAUGUGACAAUUCCUAGAAGAUUUCACAAAACCAUUAUCGCUUAGCUUUUGACUUUUCGGGAAUAUAUUGGCGGAUGAAUUAGUCGUUGUUGUUCUUGUUUCUUUAGUCCCCUUAGUAAUCCCUAUACCGGUCAUGUUUCUUGGAUUAUUUACAAGCGGUAUUCAAGCUCUUAUUUUUGCAACAUUAGCCGCAGCCUAUAUAGGUGAAUCCAUGGAGGGUCAUCAUUGAAUUGACUCUUUUUGGAAAUAGUAUUUUUUUUGCAGCUUAGCUCAAUCAUGCAUGGUUCCUAUGGAUGAAAAAGAGGGGGUCGGAGGAGAUUACCUUAAGGGAGGGGUUGGCUUUGAAAUCCACGGACAAAUACUCCGGAUUUGCAAGAUUNNNNNNNNNNNNNNNNNNNNNNNNNNNNNNNNNNNNNNNNNNNNNNNNNNNNNNNNNNNNNNNNNNNNNNNNNNNNNNNNNNNNNNNNNNNNNNNNNNNNNNNNNNNNNNNNNNNNNNNNNNNNNNNNNNNNNNNNNNNNNNNNNNNNNNNNNNNNNNNNNNNNNNNNNNNNNNNNNNNNNNNNNNNNNNNNNNNNNNNNNNNNNNNNNNNNNNNNNNNNNNNNNNNNNNNNNNNNNNNNNNNNNNNNNNNNNNNNNNNNNNNNNNNNNNNNNNNNNNNNNNNNNNNNNNNNNNNNNNNNNNNNNNNNNNNNNNNNNNNNNNCAGAAAGUGCAGCGCCUAAAGGACCGGGCUGCACAUUACAUGUGUGGCGCCUAGACCUUAGGCGCUGCAUAUUACAUGUGUGGUGCCUAUGCCUUAGGCGCUGCACGGCUGGAUGUGGGGCCGCGCCUGGCCCCGGGCUGCCACGCUGGCCCGGCGUGUGGCGCCCAAGAGCCUGGUGCUGCACAGUAUAGUGUGGCGCCUAGCUGUCAGGCGCCACACAAAACGGUAAGUUUAUGAUUUUUUUCAAGGACAGUUCAGAUCGUGAAUUGAUUUCACCAACAGGUCAAAUAUGUGUUUUUUGCCCUUUAGGAAGGCCUUGUCCUCUGCCGACAUGGUCUUUUCGAUGGGAUGGCAAGACCGGAAGAACUCCUCGCUGCGUCCAGGCCCGCCGCCCUCCUCUCCAAGCAUAUCUUCUCCUUGGAAACCUUGAUGAGAGCCGACAAGACUUCCACCCGGACUGCAUCUUGCUCUUCUCUUCUAGGAUCGCUCCAUCAAGCGCUUCAAUAUCCCUAUCACUGAAUUCUUACACCUCACUGCUUUCCUCUUGGCUUGGAUCUGGCGUGUCUACGAUAUAGUAGGACUGGACCGAGGUCGCCUGCCACGUGCCGAUAGGCAGCAUGGCUCGCGGUUGGCUGUCAGUCGACUCGCACAUCUCCUCGUCAUGAACAUCCAACUCCUCAUUUGCCUCGAGGAUGGUGGUGAGAUAUUCAAUGUUGGUGAUUAAGUGGGUUGUGGGUGGGCCAAAAAAUUUCGCAUGCUGCUCCUAGGCCUCACAUGACGUCAGACCUUGGAGAAGGAGCUCGUUGCGUGAAUCUGCGGUGUACUCCAGAUUGCUUAAUCGAACGAUCUGUCCUGGGGCACAGCUCUCGACUUGGCCCAAGCGGCUGGUUGAGUCGGCGACAAAGGUCAUGGCGCCGAAUGAAGAUCUAACCCGACGUGUAGAUCGUGUCGUCGUCAGCUACCAAUCCCAUCUUAGCACUGAGUUCACCAUGCGGGACCUGCAUGGCCACCACUGUCGGAGCUGAUUCCCUCAGAUCCCUAGAUAGGGUAUCCCGGUGAGGUGAGUAAAUCAGAGGGGAAACAUGAGACAUGCAUAUUUACCUAGGUUCAGGCCCUCCUUACGAGGUAAAACCCUAUUGUGAUUACGGUGUACAAAGUACAUGUAUUAGUCUUAUAUAAGAUAUCGGGGCCCCUAGAGUUACAUGAACCUAGUCGGCUAUGUUGGUGGAGGGGAGUCCGCCAUGUCUUUGGCUUCCUUAUCCUGAGCAACAAGGCUUCAAGAGUUUUCCUUCUAUAAGUCCCAUGGGCCAGCAUGACGACCCAUGGUGAAACCGGCCUUGGAGGCCUCGGGCCGGCCUACUCAGGCUGACAACCAGAGAGGUACGACACCCUUCACCGUAACACCAUCACAACCUGUGUUGAAGCCAUUGCUUGUCACGAGGCUAUGUGUUUGUUAUAGGAUCUUCAAGUGAGCGUGGGAGUGGUCACUUCAGAUUGUACUGGCAUAGUGCAGGACAUCCAUGAGGAAAAAGGAGGUCAACAUGGACUGAUCAUCAAGGAAAUUAGAGCUAUGGAAGAUGGUGCAGGGGUAACCCCCUUCCGCCAUGAACGUCAUGGGUCAAAUGUGGAUGCUCAUCCAGUUUCAGAAAAAAAAGUGGAUGCUCACAAUAUAGGAGAAAACUCUAGUUUUAUCACCAGAUAGGCAUGUCUAGUUGCUUGAGCCCCCGUGGUAUAUGUAAACUCUAUGAUUGAUUAUUAAAGCUCGGGUGUGUUAUUCUAAAAAAAUGUUUUGGAGCAUUGGUUUUUCUUUUUGCCCAGAUCUCCACGAAUGUCAUUCCAUCACGAAAAUCUGCAUGCUUGUGGAAUAUACAUGAAUGUUUGUUGCCAAAAAAAUUCAGAAUUUUUAUUUUUUUACACUUUUUUGUUACUGUUCCGAAUGGUGCAUGUGAGCUCAUGCUCACAAACUCCAUGUCCCACUCUAACAAAUCAACUCUCGGGUUGGAAAUAAUAAUUUAUAUUGAUUUCUUCUUCUGUGAAUUGAGUCUUCCAAAUGAUAGACAACUCUACAUUUGGUCUUAUAGGAAUGAUAAUAGAUGGAGCACAUCUCUUUAGAAUACUACUAGGAAAGGAGCACAUGUGUUGCAACGGGGUAAUAAAAUUAUGCUCUUCAAAUUGAGUGACCCAUAACAUAAUACCCAUAAUAUACAACCCUCGUUGUUAAUUCAAAUCAAUAAUACAGAUGUUUGUUGCACUUAAUAAUUAAACAUGCUAAUAUAAUACAUUUAAUUGAUGGACUACAUGACCCAAGCUUAUAGACCGGUUGUCAUGAACCAAAAUGAAUCAAACUGAUUAAGUGGUUGAUAUGUAUAAGGUCAAUGAAACCAUUGAGAGUGGCAACUACAAGCUCAACGCACCGUGAGGCUUAAGUUCUCUUAUUGCAGACAUGUGUAGCCAGUGCUACUAACAUCAUUAAGCCAUCAUUAUUAGGGGUAGUAGUGCAUAGUCUUCUUCAUAGGUUGUGAUUUGUGAAAUACUCUCGCAGUACAUUGUCUUGUUACACCGUCCUGUGCCGUCGUCUCGUCAAGUCCUAAUCGGGAGCAGUGUUCAGCUGAUAAGAACUCUACCAGAAAGUAAUGGCAAUCAAGCUGGCAUUGUAUCAGUGCAUGCUCAUAAAUCACACAUACAGUUGGCCUCUCCUCACAAAUAUGCAAGACACAGAAAACAUGUGUUAUCGUUAAUUGACUACUGGAUAGUUUUGAUACAAUAAAUCAGUAUAAAAAAGCACAGGCAAAUGGAGAAAAUAUGAACCUAUGGCGUUGCACUCGCUCCUCCUCACUAACCUUGGUGACUUGGCUGUCUUCAUCUAAAUUUCCCAAGAUCUUUUCUGAUGGCCCUUUUGGUGCACCAACUCAAAAUUACAAGAAAUAGGACACCCUUCUGCUUAUCGGUCUCGGAAUUGGCACAACUCCUUUGGUCAGCAUACCGAAGGAUGUCCUGAACAACAUGAAGUCCAAUAAGGGAACGUAAUGACUGAAAGUUCUUUCUCAUACAUGAGUAGAGAUGCACAAUGCCUAAACUGGAUUCAACAGGAGCAGCAAAGCAUGGAUGACGACGAGUUAGGCAGCACCUUCAAGGGCAACGGGCCAAGCCGAGCAUACUUCUGUUGGGUUACCAUGGAACAAGCGGCUCGUUUGAAUGGUUCAAAGGUGAUAUAGGUGAAGUUGCUGAAAGUGAUGACGGUAUACUAGGCAACCGCAACAGUUUCGGUAAACAACAACGUCCCACAUAGCACAGAUUUGUAGAAGGAAAAUAACUUAAUCUCUUGCUGUACAGAAUGCAAUACAGAUGCGCAGCUACCUUACAAGUGUGUAUGAGGAAGGAGAUGCGUGGUCAGCUCUGAUUGCCAUGGUUCAGUCUCCCCAACAUGGUAGCAAGGUUUCUUCUUCUUCUCCCUUCUCACUCCCACUGUUACCUGCAAAAAGUUUCAGAUACACCAUGGUUGCUUCCUCUCCUGACUGCUACAUCACAGAUCCGCACACUUUGCAAGGCCAAACUGGAGAAAGGCGCGCUCUGAUUUGGCCAGUACCCACGAGAACCCACGUAUAGGCCAGUCACAUUUGAUUAAAUUUUGCUUGGCUGUGCGCCUGAUCAAAAUUUAAGUGACGAAUCCUACUUUACAUUACACAAAGACACUUAAAUUUUCUCCCUGUUUACAAUAUGAAUAGAUGGACACCCAAUAUGAAUCAAACAGUGACGAAUCAUAUUGUAAACUCCGCAUAAGUCUGCAGGUUUUUUCUACUGUGGAUCUCCCACGCUUACAGAAGUAGUCACGGAUGUUGCAGUAGAAUUCACCUUCUGCUUCCUCCUCUUACCGGCUCUCGUCAGCGGCAGCAGGGGAGAGGCGGCUGUAGCGACGUAUCCCGGUCGGACCCGUGCGUGGAGGAGACUUGCUCGGAUACACGGCCUUGCCUGACACAGACUCCCCAUGAAUCGCCCUCCUUUUGCCACAUAAAUAGGCCUCGAGCCCUCUACGGAAGCAUCCAAUCUCGCGGUCUGCAAUCUCGCCGUUCUAUCAACUCCGCCGGACGCCGUGCUCCAUAUGCGGACAUGAUGCCGUCGUAAAAUCUCGCGGUUCUACCAACAUCGCCGGACCGCCCGUGCUCCAUCUGAGGUACGCCUGAUCUCUCGUGCCAAGCUAAAUUCGGUUCUGUCGUUUUGAAGAGCACAUGAUUUUUGCUGCGUGUCUGCACUCUGCAACCAUAGCUGCCAUCAUCAUCAUCAUCAUUACCUUGCCCGUAUACGGACAGUCUGCACUCUUUAGGCCUCAUACACACUAGAGAGUACUACUUCAUAGUGGCGGCUGGUAGUUCCAAUAUCUGGAGAAAGAACCAUGCUAUACGUACGACAAUUCACGUACGAGGAGCAGAUCAACCUGUAUAUCAGCUGGACUCUAAGUCCAGCAACGGCUGGAUGUUGCAUCGUACCAAAUCGGACAAGUCAUGUUCGUACGUGUAGUAGUUUCGCUGGAGAAAGAACCAUGCUAUACGUACGACAAUUCACGUACGAAUUAUAUCCGAUGGAGCAGAUCAACCCGUAUAUCAGUUGGACUCUAAGUCCAGCAACGGCUGGUCAUCGCUCUUUUGUAUAUUUUUAUUCUCUUUCCUUUACAGUAAAACAUACACCAUGCUCGCAUUGUUGCAUCUUGCAAUUAGUUCCAGAUUUGCUCGUGGGUGUCAUUCGAGGUCAGAGUAAUUAUUUAGGCAGUGUGCCAACUUUAGGCCCCCUCUGUUGAAAUCCAAAAAUCCAGUAGCUUAUGCAGCCUAUAAGUAGCUUCUAUUGAUUAGUAGCUGAUUUCUGUCAUAAUGAAUAGCUGGACACACCCACUAUUUACAUAUUAUUAUAAUUUCUCCCUGUUUGGUUGAACUCCAUGUUGAUUGCACCUUCGCACAAUAUAAAAUAUUAUUUUGGUUGUUAUUGCAGAAAAUGAAUGACAGCGCUGACUUGACCAUUGUUGUGGAUUUUGAUAACCGACCUUAAAAAAGCCAAAUUUUCUGAGUCGGAUGUUUUGGAGCCAUCACCUACGCCACCAACCAUCUCAACAUUAUCUUUUGGUUUUUGAAUGUUUUGAAUCGAUUACUCUGGUAUUAAAUAGAUGUUGAUCCAUUGCGAUGACCUCCGUUACCAACCAGAUCGACAUCACCUCCGGUUUCUGAAUGUAUGCAUGAAAGACAAGUUUAUUCGAUGAUGAUAAAGCAACCAGAGGAAUAUGAAGAAAUAAAAGUUGAUGAAACAUACAACUACUUCCCAAUAGGUAAUUGUUUAUGACGUGUACUUUUGUAUCUAGCGUCUUAAAUGCCUUUUUGUUAUUUAAUAUUAUUAUUUCUGUAUGUGCACGGUUAAUCCAUAUUUACACAUGGAUUUAUUCAAUAUUCUUUCAAAUUAUUUUACCUUUUGCAGAUUAUGCACUGACCAACCAUGAUGUAUGUGCUCAUAUAGCAAUGGAAACAUUUUUUGAAAAAACAAUUACUGGUGAAGAUAGAUGAAAUAUCUGUCAAAAAGCAUCGCUAGAUGAAAAAGGGGUGGCUAAACGAUGAUGUAAGUACCCUUACUUACAAGGAGAAGUCCAAUUAUUGAUAUCCACUAGUAAUGUCUUUUUCAAAAUCUUUUUACGUAAUCAACACAUAUGUAUGUUGUAUAGAGGACCAAGUACAUGUUCAAAAUGAUAGUAAAGUAUUUCAGAAUCCCUUUGUUACCGCACCGUUAAAAAGGGAGAUCAACCUUGGAAUACAUGAAGAUGGUACCUUUAUGAAAAAGAUUGUCAAAAACUUGUGAAGCAUGACAUGGUAACAUCCAUAUCCUUAAUUAAUAUGUUCUGGGUUUAAUACAUAUUUAUUAGUAAUUUUACUAAUAAUCUUGAAAAAGAUUGUCAAAAACUUAUGUGAAGCAUGACAUGGUAACAUCCAUAUCCUUAAUCAAUAUGUUCUGGGUUUAAUACAUAUUUAUUAAUAAUUUUACUAAUAAUCUUGAUUAUAGAAUGAAAACUUUCAAUAAAUAUGAACAACACACAUUGCUAUUUAACUGUUGUGAACGCGAAAAAUUGUGAGAUUAAAAUGCUAGACUCAUUGUGUUUCAGGUUAGACCGAGAUGAUCUCACUAUUACGGUUGGUUACUACAUCAUAAACUGAUCCUUCGCUUAUGUGUAUUAUUUCCGAUCACAUAUUUCAGCUACAAGGAUUACAAUAUCAAUUGGACAAUAUUAACUUGAUAAGCCACAAUUGGAAAGACUUCGAUGUUACUAAAUGGAAGAUUACAAAACAACUAUGGAAGCCAAUUCAAAAAGACAAGUAUAAAGCAACACAUAUGUUCUAUACUAUUAUAAGUAGUAUUGUGAUCUAUCUAGGGUACUCAUUUUUUUAAUUAUACAGUUCACCCCAUGGUCUAUUAUGCUUAAAUUCGUGCAAUAUUAGACCAGAUAUGCACUAUCUUAUCCGAUUACACAUGUAUAUAUCUCUUUUGUUUGAGAAAUAUAUAUAGUUGAUGAUAUGUUCAUUUUUAUGAUAUACUAAUAAUUGUUGGUGUUGCAUAGGAAAUUAUUAAUUCUUUUAGGUAUUAGUUAGCCAGCAUACUAUUAUGUUAAAAACAAACACCGUGGCAAUGACUACAAUGAUUGAACAAAGUGAUGAUGACAUUGAGGGAGAUCCUAAUGAAAUGUUGGAAAGUCCAUUUGAUAAAAUAAAAAUCAAAAGCAAUAAUCUCAUUAUCUAUGAAAAUAAAUACCAAUCACUAAUAUUUGUUCUUUCAAACACGAGCUUACAUGAGUUACUAGGUAAACUUUGUAGCUACAUCAAAUCAAUCGAUUCUAUAAAGAUUUUAUUGUAAGUUAUUUCAAAUUAGUGGUGCAAUUGACAACACACAUUAUCUUAUUUUCUUAUGAGUUUGGGACAAGGCAAAACCUUGAUUUUGUAGUCCCCAAGGUUUUGGACUUGCCCCAAACUCAUGAAAAAAAUAAGAUAAUGUUUAUGUUUGUUGUCUAUUGCACUACUAAUUUGAAAUGAAUCACUCUAAAAUAUCUAUAGAAUUGAUUGAUUUGAUGUAGCUACAAAGUCCACCUACUAACUCAUCUAAGCUCAUGUUAGAAAGAACAUAUAUUAGUGAUCUGUAUUUAUUUUCGACAAAUAAUGUGCUUAUUGCUUUUUAUGUUUUUGUAUGAUAUGGACUUUCCAACAUUUCAACAUCAUUAGGAUAUCCAUCAAUGUCAUCGCCAAUUUGUUCAAUCAUUGUAACCGUGGCUCCGGUGUUUGUUUUCCAACAUAAUAGUAUAUACUCGCUAACUUUAUACCUAAACGAAGUGAUAAUUUCCUAUGUAACACCAACAAUUAUUAGUAUAUUAUUGAACAAAUCAUAUAUGUUUAUCAAACAAAAGCGAUAUAUACAUGUAUAAUCGGACCGGAUAGUGCAUAUCCAGUCCAAUAUUCCAUGAAUUUAAGCAUUAGUAGACCACGAGAUGAACUGUAUAAUUAAAACAAAAUUAUUACACAUCAAUUAUUACGUAUAUUGGUAUAGAACACAUGUGAAGCUUUAUAUCAUAUCUUUUUGAAUUGGCUUUCGUAAUUGUUCUGUAAUAUUCUAUUUAGUAACAUCUAAGUCUUUCCAAUUAUGGCUAAUGAAGUUUUAACUUUCAAGCAUGUCCAAGUGAUAUUUUAGUUCUCAUAGCUGAAAAUUAAUUAAUGAUCAGAUUUAAUACACACAAGCGAAAUUUCAUAUAAUAAAGGAUAAUAAAUGAUGUAGUAACUAACCGUAAUAGUGAGAUCAUCUUAGUCAAACUCGUAACACAAUGAGUCGAGUACUUGAAUCUCACUCUUUUGCAUUCGCAACAGCUAAAUACCAAUGUGUGUUAUUCAUAUUUAUUGGAAGUUCAAUCUGUAAAAGACAAUCAGUUAAACUAUGAAUAACAAUGUAUGGAACACAAAACAUGAAAAUUAUGUAUAUGGAUGUUACCAUGUCAUGCUUCACAUAGUUUUUGACAAUCUUUGUCAUAAAGGUACCAUGUUCAUAUAUUUCAAGGUUGCCAUCCUGUUUUAACGGUCCGUUAACAAAAGGAUUCUCAAAAUAUACUUUACUAUCAUUCUGGACAUGCACUUGGUCUUUUAUACAAAGUUUGACCAAAUUUAUAUAUUGAAAAAAAUAUCAGCAUUGUCUACAAUGCUUAAGUUAUAUACCAAAAAGGCUUUCGCCCCGCUUUAUAAAUAAAGCAAACCGUCCAAGAGCACACAUACACGGACUAGUCCAAACACACACACCCAAGUCUCACAAGAGGAAGUACAAUAGGUUCUGCUGAGGGCACAGUUUAAGUUAUAUAGUAUGAAAUUUAAUUUCAUGAUGCAUCUAAUGAAAUUAAAUUUUAUCUAAUAAACAUAUGCAUUUUGUAACGUAAAUGUUGAUUUUUUUCCCUAUAAAGUUGUUCAAAAUUUCCAAAGUUUGACUUCAGACAAAUUUUAUAUGGAAACUAAAAGGAAACCGAAGGAGUACCAAUGAUGAUGAGAAUAAAUGAUGUUUAUUUUUUUAAAUAGAACCUAGCGGAGAGCCUGUCCGGCCGCAGAUCACCAUGUUAGGUUGAUCUCUCUCCCGUUCGAACCCAACGGGUCGAACGGGCCCUUGACUCGCGCCCUGAUCGGGGGCGUCCAACCAAACCAUGGUUGGUGGGCCCUGUGACCCGCGCUAUAUAAACAGAGGUGGGGGCCGGGGCACGACUUACGAGGUUAAUCGCUGCCACAAUCCCCACCUACAAUCCCUACCGAUCUAGGGUUAGCGCGGUGCUCACGGGAAGUUCCACCACCUCGCCCACUCUCCGCCAUCGCCGUGCGCCCCAGCACCACGAUGGCCUCCGGCUCAAGUUCAUCCACUGCCGGACAAGGUAGGUUCACCGGAUCUACUAGCCUACUCCGAUCCAAAGAAUCUAUCAAUGGUAUCAGCCAGAUCGGGCUAGUUGAUUUCGGUACAAAGAAACAAACACAGAAAAAGUCUCUGAAAAUGCAAAAAGAAUUUUUUUAGAAAAUAAAUGUUCAUGAAUUUUAUAAAGAAAAUUAAUAAAGUUCAUGAUUUUAUAUUCGGUCAUAGAAAAGUUUCUGUAAAAAGUAAAAAGUUCGUGAAUUUUUAUUCAUGUUUUUCCGCUGCGUAAAUAAUUAAUGCUCUUUUACAAAGAAAAUAAAAGUUUACAUAGUAUUAAGUUUUUAAGAGCAUGUUAAAGUGAUUAUUAAAAUGAAUAUGAUUAUGUUAUUUUUAUGACCAACGUUGUUAAUAACAUGAUCAUGUUUUAUUAUUGAAAUUUAAAGGUGCAUUUAUUUCUAAUUUUUGCCCAAUGGUAAUAUAGAUUUAAUUGCAUAGACAAUUAUAUGUUUAAUUUGACCAACGUUAGAUUAAUGCAUAUUAUUGUUAUAUUGAUGUCACUUAAAUUGUGAUUUCAGGAGGCUUUCACUUGAUGAGUUGCCUAAAAGAAGUUCCGACACUCAGAGGUGACAACCACACUGAGUGGAGGAAGAAAGUUGAACUGGCGUUUGUUUGUGCUGAUCUUGACUGGGUUGUGGAGAAACCACAGCCGGUCAGACCCACAGAGCCAGUAAGAGAGGCCACUGAUGAUGAUGCUGCAUGGGCUAAAAAGAAAGGGGACUAUGCUCCUUUGGAGCAGUCCUACCUCAUAGAUAAUCAAAAGUGGGUCAAUGCAAAUAAAAAAUGCAUGGCCUUUAUAAAGAACACCAUUGAGAGCGCCAUUGUGGGCUCCAUUGCAGAGUGCACUUCCGCAGGGGAGUUGCUCUCAAAGAUAAAGAACCAGUUCACUGGCUCUUCAAAGAUAUAUGCCACCCAGGUGUUAGAGCAACUGGUGACAGAAAAAUACACAGGUGGUAGUCAUGGCAUAAGAGAGCACAUCCUCAGGAUGAGCAAUAUGGCAGCAAAGCUUAAGCCCAUGGAUGCGGAUCUGGAGAUCAAACCAGCGCUCCUGGUCCACCUUGUCAUGGCUUCACUACCCAAGGAGUUUGAAGCUUUUGUUGUGAACUAUAAUAUGUCACCUGGAACAUGGGACGUUGAAAAGACAAUAGCAAUGUGUGUUCAAGAAGAGGAGAGACUCAAAGCCUCACAUGGUGGUACACUCAACUAUGUGCAGGGUCACAAAAGAAAGAAUUACAAUCAAAACAACAAAAGUUCUCCUUCAAAGCCACAAGGAAAAGUUACCUAUCAGCAUCAGCGUCAGCAACAGCCUUUCUCAGUGGACAAAGACACUUGUCUCCACUGUAAGAAGACCGGGCAUUACAAGAAAGACUGUCCUGUUUGGCUAAAGUCGAUCAUGGCAAAAAGAGGUAACAAUAUAGUUUCAUUUGUAAAUGAAUCCCUGUAUGCACAGUUUUCAAAAUCCACUUGGUGGAUUGACUCAGGAGCAACUGUUCAUGUUGCAAAUUCUUUACAGGGAUUCCAUUCGACGCGGACUACACUAAAAAGCGAAAGACGCAUUGAAGUGGCGAACGGAGUUGAAGCAGAAGUUGAAGCUGUCGGUGAUAUCUCCUUGGAGUUAGCUGAUGGAUUCAAUCUUCUACUUAGAGAUGUUUUAUUUGUUCCAUCAUGUCAUAGAAACUUAAUAAGUGUUUCUUGCUUGGACAAAGAUAAUUAUGAGUGUUAUUUUGGACAUGGCAAGUGUGCCAUUUGGUUAAAUAAUGCUUAUGUGGGUGAUGCUUUACUACAUGAUGAGCUUUAUUUGUUAUCACUUCGUGAAAAAGUUUAUUCCGUUUGCAAUGUGAAAGAACAUGUUUUUGCGUCGAAUAAAGAACAAAAGAAAAGAAAAAGAACAUUUGACUCAUCGAAAUUAUGGCACUGUCGCUUGGGCCAUAUUUCGAAGGGGAGAAUAGAAAGAUUAGUCAAAAGUGAAAUUCUUCCUCCGUUAGAAUUUUCAGACUUAGAACAAUGCAUAGAUUGCAUUAAAGGAAAGUACGUAAAACAAAUCAAAAAAGGUGCAAUCCAUAGCACAGGCACACUAGAAAUCAUUCACACUGAUAUUUGUGGACCAUUUCCGGUGAAAAGUGUGGAUGGAUAUGACUCGUUCAUAACAUUCACAGAUGAUUACUCUCGCUAUGGUUAUAUUUAUCCAAUCAAAGAAAGAUCGGAAGCGUUGGAUAAAUUUAAAAUAUUCAAAGCUGAAGUUGAAAAUCAGCACGAUAAAAUAAUAAAGAUAGUAAGGUCCGACCGUGGGGGAGAGUACUACGGUCGACACACUCCAUAUGGCCAAGUCCCUGGACCUUUUGCGAAGUUCUUGCAGGAGACUGGCAUAGUAGCCCAGUAUUCAAUGCCGGGCGAGCCUCAGCAAAAUGGAGUAGCUGAAAGGCGCAACCGUACCCUUAUGGAUAUGGUGCGCAGCAUGAUGAGUUAUUCCAACUUGCCAUUGGGAUUAUGGAUGGAGGCGCUUAAAACCGCCAUUCACAUUCUCAAUAGAGUACCAAGAAAGUCGGUGCCCAAAACACCGUACGAGCUAUGGACAGGAAGGAUGCCCUCCCUACAACACUUCAGGGUGUGGGGGUGCCCUGCUGAGGCCAAAAUGUUUAAUCCAAACAUUGCAAAGUUAGAUCCCAAAACAUUAAGUUGCCACUUCAUUGGCUAUCCAGACAGAUCAAAAGGUUUUCGUUUCUACUGCCCUGACAGAUAUACAAAGUUUGUAGAAACGAGGCAUGCAGUCUUCUUAGAGGACGAAAUGAUGAGGGGGAGCUUGGUAGCUCGGAAAAUUGAUCUUGAGGAGAAGAGGGUGCAUGCACCUAAUCCGAUGAUUCAGGAGCCAUUUUUCUCACUACCAGUUGCAACUCCACCCAUGACAGCUAUGGGGGAAGACCCGAAACCUGUCCGUCAGGAGCCGACUGAACCCGUUGUUGAGCAUGAAAGGGAGGUGCAAUAGCAAAUUUUAGAAGAAGUGCUAGAAGUUGAGGCACAAAAUGUGCCAGAAACUGAGGCCCUUAGAAGGUCUACAAGACCAAGGAAGUCAGCUAUUUCUACCGACUUUAAAGUUUAUAACAGAGAAAUGGUUCAUAUGGAAAAAGAUCCCACCUCAUAUGAAGAAGCCAUGAGAAGCCCUCAUUCAUCGAAGUGGAUGAAGGCAAUGGAAGACGAGAUGAAAUCGAUGAGUUCCAAAGAUGUUUGGGACUUAGAGGAAAUUCCCAAAGGAGCCAAAACAGUAGGCUAUAAAUGGGUCUACAAAAUUAAGUAUGACUCUAAAGGGAAUAUAGAAAAGUAUAAAGCACGACUCGUGGCAAAAGGAUUUACACAAAGAGAAGGGAUAGAUUACAAUGAGACAUUUUCUCCAGUCUCAUGUAAGGAUUCCUUCAGAAUCAUAAUGGCAUUAGUUGCUCAUUUUGAUUUAGAGUUACAUCAAAUGGAUGUUAAGACGACAUUUCUGAAUGGUGAUUUAAAAGAAAAGGUCUACAUGAAACAACCCAAGGGUUUUAUCAUGGAAGGCAAGGAAAAUAUGGGAUGCCGCCUAAAGAAAUCCAUUUACGGAUUAAGACAAGCCUCUCGGCAGUGGUAUCUAAAGUUUAAUCAAACGAUUAAAAGUUUUGGAUUUAAAGAAAAUAUUGAGGAUAAUUGCAUUUAUGCAAUGUUUAAAAAUGGGAAAUAUAUUUUCCUAAUCUUGUAUGUGGAUGAUAUCCUGCUUGCUAGUAGUGAUGUUAGUCUACUACAAGAAACAAAGAAAUACUUAUCCUCAAAUUUUGACAUAACAGAUCUUGGUGAAGCAUCAUAUGUUUUGGGCAUAGAAAUUCACCGAGAUAGGAACAAUGGAGUCUUAGGACUAUCUCAACAAGCAUAUUUAGAAAAGGUUCUUAAAAAGUAUAAUAUGCAUGCGAGUAAAGCCACACCUGCUCCAAUAGUCAAGGGCGAUAGUUUUGGGAAAUUCCAAUGUCCCAAGAACCAGUAUGAGAUCGAUCAAAUGAAAGCAGUACCAUAUGCUUCGGCAGUUGGCAGCUUACAGUAUGCACAAGUGUGAACUCGCCCUGACUUAGCUUUUAUCACCGGGGUACUCGGUAGAUAUCAAGAGAAUCCAGGCCUAGAGCACUGGAAGAUGGUAAAGAAAGCAUUGCGUUAUGCGCAAGGCACGAAGGACUACAUGCUAAUAUACAGGAGAAGUGAUUCCCUAGAGAUAAAAGGGUAUUCAGACGCAGAUUUUGCGGGGGACAUAGAUGAUAGAAAAUCCACGUCAGGAUACAUAUUCACCCUCGCUGGGGGAGCUAUUUCGUGGAAAAGCUCCAAACAGUCGAUAGUUGCAUCAUCUACGAUGUAUGCAGAAUUCGUAGCAUGCUUCGAAGCCACGGGGCAGGCGAUAUGGCUAAAGAAAUUUGUACCCGACUUGAAAGUGGUAGAUUGUAUUCACAAACCACUAAAGAUGUACUGCGACAACCAGCCCGCGGUAUUUUACGCUCACAACAACAAGUCGAGUAAUGCUGCCAAAACAAUAGAGAUAAGGUAUUAUGUUGUGAAAGAUAAAAUCCAGGAUCAAACUAUAAGUCUCGAGCAUAUAAGGACAAAGGAUAUGCUUGCGGAUCCGCUAACGAAAGGCUUACCACCCAAUGUGUUCAAGGAACACUUAGCCGGCAUGGGUUUAAGGGAAAGCCUUAUGAUUCCUGGAUAGGCCCAAAAGGAACAGAAUUUGUUUCUGAACAUAACGUAUGUUGUAGCUGUAUGAUUCUAACGGCAAUUAAGUCGUGACGAUGAAACAUGCUCUAUGUACCAAUAUGUGAUGAAACAAAUAAACUAGAAAGUAUAAAGUUAAAAGUAAAGUUGAGAUCAAGGGGGAGAAUGUUAGGUUGAUCUCUCUCCCGUUCGAACCCAACGGGUCGAACGGGCCCUUGACUCGCGCCCUGAUCGGGGGCGCCCAACCAAACCAUGGUUGGUGGGCCCCUGUGACCCGCGCUAUAUAAACAGAGGUGGGGGCCGGGGCACGACUUACGAGGUUAAUCGCUGCCACAAUCCCCACCUACAAUCCCUACCGAUCUAGGGUUAGCGCGGUGCUCACGGGAAGUUCCACCACCUCGCCCACUCUCCGCCAUCGCCGUGCGCCCCAGCACCACGAUGGCCUCCGGCUCGAGUUCAUCUACUGCCGGACAAGGUAGGUUCACCGGAUCUACUAGCCUACUCCGAUCCAAAGAAUCUAUCACACCAGAGUGUAUCUUCGUGAACGCCCGCCCCAAGUUGGAGUGAUGUGUUCUUCACAUCCUUCAACGCGGUCGCCAUGGACGAGAAGUCGAGACCCUUCCGCGCGGCCGGUAUGGACCAGGGGUGGUUCUACCCGGAUGCCGCGCGGCCGCCGCCGACGAAGUCCUUCGUCGCGGCCGCCAUGGACACGAGGGCACCAGGAGGCAGGAGUUACGUAUCUGAUCUUUUUUUUCCUUGCAGCUGUUAUACGUAUCUGAUCGUGGAGCAAUGGAAACGUAAAAUGAAGGAGCGGGAUUGAGCAGCUGGGAUCGGAAACAGAGCGGCAGUGGGGUUGCGUGCUUUAAGAUUGGAGUUGGGAUGGACCCGAUCUCAGAAUUUAUUUUCCCAUCUUCUCCGCCUCCGCCUCCUCCUCCUCCGCUGCCUCCACCUCCGCCGAUGGCAGCCGCCACUCCAAGCAAAAGCAGCAAGGAGGUCAUGGCCUUCAACUAUCCCAGAUGCUCAUGCUGAUCCCGCGCUCUGUUAUCAGGGCUACGUUCAACUACGACCUCAGCGCUAUCGGCAAGAUUUUGAUGGCUAACGAUGGUCGUUCGGCCGCGGAACCAAUGGACUACGUAAGGAAGGUGCGCUCAAUUGCUUCUCGUGCCUCUUUAGCUUCUUUUCCUUUCCGAUUUUGAGCUUUCGUUCAACAGAUGUGCGUAUUUUGGAUCGGCUGAAAAUAGUUCAUAGAUCCCAUGAUCGGAGAUAUGUACGAGCUCUUUUAUGAUACCCUGUGUUACAUAUGGGCCGUCAAAUCGUAACAGUGAACGGUUGGGUAUAGCAUGCAUGCGCAGGUUUCUGUCGUGUCGAACUAGCCCACCCCGUCCUUGCCCUCCCAUUACCUUCCCCACCGCGUUCAGUAGGGAAAAAAACUAGGGUUCCGGCCAUGGCCGGCGUGCGCCUGCCAUCUAUGGUGGAUCAGGAGGCUGCCGAGCUAGGCCCCUCUUCCACUCCACCUACGCUGCGCUGCCCUCCCUCCUCUUCCUCCAUGCACGAGGCGCUCGAGGAGGACCCGACGCCACUGAUCCCUAGGGACGCUGUCGUGCUCCGGGACCGGCCGACGCUCACCCGCCAGUGCCCUCACCACGUCUUCUCCACGGAGGUCCCUGCCUGCGCCCUAGGCCGGAGCUGUGCGCCGACCUCCACUCCGGCAGCACGCGUCGCUUGAACCCGGCUUGGCCGCAUCACCGAUUUAAAGCAGCGCUUCUCGCUCACCGGGAACUAGACCGUCGCCGCCAGCCCCGGCGAGGACAGCUGGGCUGGCUAGGUGCAGGGCCUCGGAACCGACGUCUACUGCUCGUCUGCUACAGAGGCUGGUCAUGCUGGGCAGGCGAGGCCAUGGCGGCUGGCCGCCCUGCCCACUCUCUAGGAUUCCAGCCGCUGCCGACAUGCAAGGCAUCUUGAUUUUCCAUGUCAGUAUGUUUGUGACUUGUGUAUUGGCUCAAAGUUAAAUGACUACGAUUUUGAGAACUAGCAGAGCAUUGUUGAAAUAGAAAAUUACUCUCUCUGAUUGUUGUUCUAUAUGAGAAUUUCAUGCUUCUUAUAUGCUUGAGCCAAUUUGGUAGAUGUAAAAUUAGGUAAAUGGAAAGUUUGAUACAGUGAGUACAUUGCGAUUAAGUGUUUGUGCUUUUGUUUGACUUACAGUAUCUAAGAAGAAAGUAAAUAGGUAUUCACUGUAAUGUUCCAUUUGCCUCCGAAAUUCAAGACUUCAUGGCACACUUUUGCUACAGGAUGUGUAGGAUAAGGUAAAUGUUUUUUUUUUCUUUUUUUUGCUAUCUUGUGUUUCUUCCUAUAUGAUGAAAAUCUCUGCUUGGAGGGGAAAUGGUCAGUUGCCACUUUGAACCAUCUCAACUUGGAGGAUUGUAGAUUAUUAUGGGAGAUUGCCUAAAUUUGUCUCUGGACUACUGUAUUAUAGCAGGAUGCACAUGACCCUGAUAGAUUCAUACUAGACGUUAAUUACACAUUUAAUACAUAAACUUUCACUAGACGUACAGAUUCAUACAUAAACUUAAAAAUUGACACGAAUCGGCCAUACAACUUGUGUUUCGGGUAUGUUUGUUUGAGUGCAUUCCUUCAUUUGAGAAAAAGGGUUUCCCCCGCUUUGUAUUCCAAAGCACCGUCGGCACGCGGGAGGGCACAACCUCCACCGUCAACGACGGUAACCGACCGGACACACUAGCAGGAGCCUACCAGGCCCAUGUGCCCACAGGCCCGGCCGGGAACUCCAUUCCCGGAAAGCUCCUGCCAUCGCGCUGCAGCAGGCACGCCAUCGACAUCGCCGCCCCCCAUCCGAGCCGCUCCUCCUCCUCACCACACAGACGACGACGAAGCCACGCCAGGGACAGGCCCGCUAGGACCCAGAUGGGGCCGGGAGGGCCCAGAUCUGGGCCGGGGACGCGCCGCCGGCCACCGCACGCCACCACGCCGCCCUGCUGCCAAUGGCAGCACCGCCACCGCGCCUACCGCCGGCGACCGCUGCCGGGUCGCCGGGCCGCCGCCCAGCUGAGCAUCACCGCCNNNNNNNNNNNNNNNNNNNNNNNNNNNNNNNNNNNNNNNNNNNNNNNNNNNNNNNNNNNNNNNNNNNNNNNNNNNNNNNNNNNNNNNNNNNNNNNNNNNNNNNNNNNNNNNNNNNNNNNNNNNNNNNNNNNNNNNNNNNNNNNNNNNNNNNNNNNNNNNNNNNNNNNNNNNNNNNNNNNNNNNNNNNNNNNNNNNNNNNNNNNNNNNNNNNNNNNNNNNNNNNNNNNNNNNNNNNNNNNNNNNNNNNNNNNNNNNNNNNNNNNNNNNNNNNNNNNNNNNNNNNNNNNNNNNNNNNNNNNNNNNNNNNNNNNNNNNNNNNNNNNNNNNNNNNNNNNNNNNNNNNNNNNNNNNNNNNNNNNNNNNNNNNNNNNNNNNNNNNNNNNNNNNNNNNNNNNNNNNNNNNNNNNNNNNNNNNNNNNNNNNNNNNNNNNNNNNNNNNNNNNNNNNNNNNNNNNNNNNNNNNNNNNNNNNNNNNNNNNNNNNNNNNNNNNNNNNNNNNNNNNNNNNNNNNNNNNNNNNNNNNNNNNNNNNNNNNNNNNNNNNNNNNNNNNNNNNNNNNNNNNNNNNNNNNNNNNNNNNNNNNNNNNNNNNNNNNNNNNNNNNNNNNNNNNGGCGCGCGAGCCGGCGGCCGGCGGCGGCGGCGGAACCCUAGCGGGAGGGAGCGGACGGGAGCCUGCAUUCCUUCAUUUGCCGUUAACUCUCCGUUAAACUUUACACGCCGGCUGGUCGACGCUCCAUGUCUGCAUGUGGGUCUCACCUGUCUGUGGCAAAGGAAGAAAAUACAAACAUAAAAGUACAGUGCACUUAGACGGAACCGAAGUAAUGCCGUCCAGGCGCAAGCAACUGCAUUAAUACAAAGUUCCAUAAAACAUAUUCUAUAAUUUACAUAUUUUGUUAGGAAAAUUGAUUUGAAUGCUUUGCACGGCGUUUAUUUUUUCCUGGUUUACCGGAAGUUUUGGUGAGCCCCAAAUGUUCUUGUAUCGUUCAUAAAAACAUUUGUUAAAAAUUUGAAAGGUCAUAUAUUGUCAAACUGAGCUCGUAUGCCUGCAUUUUCACAUAACAACUAUCGUCUAGUGUUACGGCACGCGAACUAUCACCUCGAUUAUCCACAUUGAUUCCCCUGUUUUCAAAAACUGAACAUUUUUUUAUGCGUUAUGCAAUGCUUAUAGAAAAUAGAGGAGGUGCCUUAGGGAUGCCUCAAACUCGCACCCUUCAUGUAAAAACUAGGCGAGCUGGCCGCUAUAAAAGGCAAAAAGUUUGUUAUAUAUGGUGUUUAGCAUGUUAUAAAACUCACAUAUUUUCCUAAAAGAGUAUUAGUACCACCUGGUUAAAAUAAACUCCUAAAAUACAGAGGCAUAAAUUCCCCAUCUUCCUUCUUUUUCCAAGCGGCAAGCUGCAAUUUAAUUGCUGAAAUUAACUCGUAGAUUCCUCUUAUGUUCUCUCUUUGCAAUUUUGCAAAGCAUAGUUUUCAGCUGCUCCACCAUGCAAUUACACAUGUAUUCGUUUUAAUUGAUUAUCAUAAUAAACACAAAAUAAAUUUUAAAACUUUCUAAAUUUCAAUCACAACUUAAAAAAUAUGAGCGUAAAUUUUAAACUAAUCUUAAUCCAAAUUUUAUUCUAGAAAAACUAGCAAAUUCUGACAACUUUCAACUCUCUUCAUCCUUCAUUUGUGACUUUGAUUAUCUUCUAGUCCUCGUCGUUUUGCCAUCCUUUCAUGUUCAGUGGAGAUUCCACUAGGAGGACAGUGAGUUGUUUCCUGAACCCGGGGAUGUCGUCCUGCGUAAUAGGUUGACUUGGUCUCACAGUUGACAAUGUGAAUGGUGUGGUUAAAAUAAGUGUGGACAUCGUAAUGCUGUGUAGGCUCCAUCUAGGUUGUCACAUGUGAACUUUUCCAUGUUCUUUACCGAAAAAGCUCACAUGACAUAUUGCAAUCAUAUGGAUUCUUAUAAAUAUUUUUACUAAGAAUACUAAAUUUGUGGUUUUAAAUGUUGUGUACAGUACCUAUCUUUUUGUUGUGUUAUAUUUUGAUAACUUGAACUGUCCAAGUAUUGAUGCCGAAAUCCGGCCAAGUAUCGACUUUUCGGCAACCAUGCCGAUAUGCUACUUCCAUAUGGAGUUGCAUGAGCUGUAAUAAGUUAAGAAGUAUAAGACAUAUAAUAUGAAAAUUAACUCUCGGUAUGUAUGUACUAAGCAUUGAAAAAACUUAUCAUGUUUUCUAGUUCCGGGUGGGCUUUCUUAAACUGUUUUGUUGUUGAUGGCAUCAAAUAUACAACUUGCACUGCCCUUUUUUUGGCAUUGACAAUCGCCAUGUACCUAUGCAUUUCUUCAUAUUCAUAGGAAGAGAAACCUGCAUUUAAGACAUAAUUAGUUUUGUACCAUUUAGAAAUUGACUUAGACUAGUGUGACUUACCAUAUCAUGGGAAAGGUACUUUUCGCCAUGAAUACUACCAUAUGUUUUGUUCUGUAGAUCACGGGUACAAUUUGGAAAGCUUCCUUCUCUGACUAGCACACCACUAACUGAUGCUCUCUCUAGAUAGAUCAUCCCGUCGGCCCGACAUCUGGAUUGGGGCGCAUGUGACGUACCCAUGUUAUGGCCGCAUCCAAGAUUUGAAUCGCAAAGCAGUAAGGAAUCAAAAUAGAAAAUAACAAUUUGUUAAUUAUUUAAGAAGUUAGCACAUAUCUUGCAUUACAGUCAUCCGUUCGUACUACUUUUAAAGCGUGGAGCUGUCAAGCAUCUAAGAUCAGCGCGAUAGAGAUGAAUUUCAUCCAUUUCUACCAACACUUUUGAAGACGGGGAUGUAUUGACAUAGUCAAUGACCUCUUCAACUAUCUUCUCAUCUGGAGCAUCAUCCGUUCCCAUUCUGGGAGUACUCACGUCUUUUGGAGUUAUCUUGCCUCAUUUAGUUCUCUUGGUUCAUCAAAAUAAACAUAAUCCUUGUUAUCUGUAAAAGUGGAUUUCCUUUUUCUCUUCUUCUCUCCCGUCACCGUAGACCCUCCUGUUGCCUGCGUGUCCGAGGGAGGAGUUUUUUUAAUAGUGACUCACAUAAUUAAUGUACUUACUUGAGCACCCUGCAAGUCAUAGGGAGGAGCUUGUAAAAUGAGAAAAAUAAAUCACAUGAUUAACAUAGUUACUAAAUUACAUCAAAGUCUGAGGCCAGGUGACGCCCACGAAGGGGCGAGGUAACAAAUUUGUCGCUGUUGUUGUACUCAUAUUCUGGUCGGCUCCAAUAGUCCUGCAUAGGUGUCUGGUUGUUAUUACUUUAUAUAUAGGAAGGAAAGAGUGAUUAAGUGCGUGUUUGGAUGGUAGGGUACUUACAUUGGCGUUCAGGUUGGCGUAUAGCCAGUUUCGUCAUAUCUGCAUUUUCAUUCUCUAGGUACCUGAAUUUAUGCGCGCAACAUUUUCCUUCUCUAGGUGUACAGAUUCGCGUACAAAUGUUGCGCAAAUUCAGGCACCUAGAGAAGGAAAAUGCAAAUACGAGGAAACUGGCUAUACGCCAACCUGAACGCCAAUGUAAGUACCCUAUCAUCCAAACACGCACUUAAUCACUCUUUCCUUCCUAUGUAUAAAAUAAUGACAACCAGGCACCUACUAUUGGAGCUGACCAAAAUAUGAGCACAACAACACUGACAAAUUUGUUACCUCGCCACUUCAUGGGCGUGACUUGACCUCAUACGUUGAUCUAAUAUAGUAACUAUGUUAAUUACGUGAGUUAUUUUUCUCAUUUUACAAGCUCCUCUCUACGACUUGCAGGCUGCUCCGGAUGACACCACUAGUGAGCAAAAGGAGUUUGACAAAGACGAUGCCCGAAAAUUAGAUGUAACUAAGUACAUUAAUUAUGUGAGUCACUAGUUCAAAAACAACUCCUCCCUCGGACACGCAGACAACAUGAGGGUAUACAGCGGGACAGAAGAAGAGAAAAAGGAAAUCCACUUUUGCAAAGAAUAAGGAUUUUGUUUAUUUUGAUGAACCCAACAGAACUAAAUGAGGCAAGAUAACUCGAAAAGACGUGAGUACUCCCAGAACGGGAAUGAAUGAUGCUCCAGAUGAGAAGAUAAUUAAAGAGGUCAUUGACUAUGUCAAUACAUCCCUGUCAUCGAAAGUGUUGGUAGAAAUUGAUGAAAUUCAUCUCUAUCGCGCUGAUAUUUAGAUGCUUGACAGCUCCAAACUUUAAAAGUAGUACCGAAGGAUGGCUGCAAUGCAAGGUAUGUGCUAACUUCUUAAAUAAUUAAAACAAAUUAUUUUCUAUUUAGAUUCCUUACUGCUUUGCAAUUUUGAUCUUGGAUGCACCCAUAACAUGGGUAUGUCACAUGCGCCCCAAUCCAGAUGUACAGGCCAACGGGAAGAUCUACCUAGAGAGAGCAUCACUUAGUGGUGUGCUAGUCAAAGAAGGAAGCGUUCCAACUUGUACCCGUGAUCUACAGAACAAAAUAUAUGCUAGUAUUCAUGGCGAAAAGUAUCUUUCCCAAGAUAUGGUAAGUCACACUAGUCUAAGUCAAUUUCUAAAUGGUACAAAACUAAUUGUGUCUAAAAUGCAGGUUUCUCUUCCUGUGAAUAUGAAGAAUAUGCAUUGAUGCGUGGCGGUUGUCAAUGCCAAAAAAGGGCAGUGCAAGUUCUGGAUUCAAUGCCAUUAACAACAAUACAGUUUAAGAAAGCUCAUCCGGAACUAGAAAACAUGGUACCUUUUUAUGCUUAGUACAUACAUACAGAGAGUUAAUAUUCCGGAAAUUCGAUAUGGCUCAUAUGAAUGCGGCAAUAGAGGUCUGGUCCUGGACGGCAUAGGAAGCAUUUUCUCCACCACAAGAUGAUUAGCAGUUGGACGUCCAUCACUCAAUUAAUAGAUGAUGUAACAAGUCGUUUCUUACAAGCCAACGCUCUCAUUUGCACGUCAUCACUUGCUGCUUUGGACUGUGUAGUAAUGACCGAGGCCCUGAAUCGGAAAAUUAAUUACCAAAGAAAUUUGGAGGUCUGAACAGUAAACACAAACUGCCGUGGCUGGAAACCUAGACACUUGUUCUCAGUUAAAGGAAUUUUUUCCUUUGUCCUUUUCUGCUUAUGAAGAAAUGUAGCAGUUUUAGCAACUUUUAGCCUUUUGCAAAUGAACUUUCGAAGUACUAAAUAAUAAAUAGGUAAGCCCUUUGCAGUUUUCAGUGUUAUACAUUCAUGUUUUCUUUUACUAGGAAGUGAGGUUCUAUUGAUGCUGGUGUUCUUUGUUUUUUAAUUAUGUGGUUGAUGCACUGAUGUAAUCUGUCUGAAUUUUGAAAUUUGUUUAUUAUUAUUAUAAAAACUGUACUGCACGUCUGCCCCAGUGUAAGACUCAAUAAAACAAAUAAUGGAGGAUACAACUCCUCAACAUUAAACCAGGUUAGGACAUGAAACAUCAUCCCUGAUACUAACUCAAAUUGCACGCUGGAAGUACUGCACUGUACUAGCAUUCAUAGUUCAUGGUGUACAAUACAUUUAAUAAAUAAUUCGCUGCUUCUGUCGGAACGCCGUUUCCGGAAGGUGGGCCUGCCACGCCCUGCCGCGCGGCUGUACAUACGGCAUGCAUACAGUUGCCACCUGAUAUACGGCAAUUUCCGCCGGUCGCACAUUUUUCAUUCAAUGCGCUUCCCACCCAGCGGUCCAGAUAAUAAUACCAUAUGCAAGUAUGACCCAUAUCUUCGCCCUUAAUAUUCAAAUUAUAUGUCUUAUACUUCUUAAUUAUUAUAGCUCAAAGGCAUGCAACUCCAUAUGGAAGUAGCUAAUCGGCAUGGUUGCCGAAAAGUCGAUACUUGGCAGGAUUUUGACAUCAACACUUGGACAGUUCAAGUUAUCAAAAGUAUAUCACAACAAAAAGAUGGGUACUGUACUGUAUACAACAUUUAAAACCACACAUUCAGUAUUCGUAGUAAAAAUAUUUACAACAAUCCAUAUGAUUGCAGCAUGUCAUGUGGGCUUUUUUGGCUAAAGAACAAGGAAAAGUUUACAGUUUCCAAUCUAGAUGGAACCUACACAGGAGUAAAUAGCAAAAAACUACCACAUUACGGGCUACGGCUAAGAAAAACUACCACUUUUUUUAUUUUUUAAAAAUGCUAUCACUAUUUUGGUUGGCUGUUCUAAAAAACACUAGUGAUAUAUAGUUAGUAUUUAAUCAUGUUUAUGACAGCUGGCCCCACCUAUAAACAGUAACCACUAACACUGUGAGCGUUGACUGUUAGAUUGGACCAGAGGAGGCCCACCUGCCAGCAUAUUUAUAUGUAUCUAACUAAAAAAAUACCAGCUGCCCACCUCGCGCCAGGCCGGCGAGCUGGAGCUUCGCCGCACGCCCGCAGUGCCACACCCCCCAGCUCUCCCUUCCUUGGCACCCCGCUCACCUGAGCACACCUGUGACGUGCCUGCUGCAGCGGUCAUCUUCGUCGCGGAGCCGCACCUCUCCUCUGUCCCGCGCGCAUGGCGUUGGCGGCCAUGCUCGGCCCUGUCCCGCUCCUGGAACUCUUCGAUGCGUGUCUUGAAGGUUGCCGCCAAGGUUAAACGACGAGCCCCAUGGGAAGAGACGCGGCUGUGCAUCUCCAACGCCCUAGCCGUGGCCUCCGCCCUCUUGGCGGCCAUGCUCGGCCCUGCACCGCGGCCUCGGCCCUUUCUCUAUAUUUUUCUCCACCGAGGCCAAAACCUGUCCCGCUCCUGGAACUCUUCGAUGCGUCGUUGCUUCGGCGGAGCUUGUCUCUAUAUUUUUCUCCUCUGUCCCGCGCGCAUGGCCGUCGUUUGUCGUUGAUGUGGCUGGAGACAACCACGAGCUUCAGCAUCAUGUGCAUCCGCCUCGCCCUGUCUCCCUCUCACUCCUGCUCCAUUAACUGAACAAGGGACACGCCAUAGCCGUCGGCAGCGACCUUGUUCUCCAACCUCGGUCAUGGCGCACCACCAUCAAAUUAGCCACCGGCAGACUCCUUCGGUCCUCAUCCUAGACACCAUCUGGUCCGCAGCGUCAACGCCGACCUCCUGGACAUCCCAGCGUCAAGCUCCGCCUCCUCCUGCGCCCUCGCCGACAAGCUCCGAGCCCCGGUGGUCGUCGUUGUUUCUCAACUCGCCGUUCCAUGCUAACUCGCCUUGUCCGAGCACGCGCACCGGCUUGUGGUGUGUCUUCUCUGGUCCGCUCGCAACCCGUAGCGCUGCAGCCUUCAAGCACAUCACGGCGUCUGCAGCAGGAGGCCGACGCCGAGCCCCUCAAGGUGCCAGCACGCACGGGCACCGGAAGCCCGGGUCCGAGCUCGCGGGCACGCUGCCCGCCGCCGCCCUUGCCCCAGUUGGCCGUUGCCGAGAGGAAGCCGUCAGCCUUCCAUGGAUCACGAUUCAUGAGAGCCGCCGGGGAGGAGACGGGCGCCGCGACCCAGAUCCCGUGUCGUGCUGACUUAACGGCUUGACUAGUGGAGAUGACUUUUUUUUUGCCACGUGGCACUGAUGUGUGGGACCUCCCUGUCAUAAUUAUGAUUAAAUUUUAACUAUACAGUCACUAGUGUGUUUUGGAACAGCCAACCAAAAUAGUGGUAGCAUUUUGAAAAAUUAAAAAAAAUGGUAGUUUUUCGUAACCAUAGCCCGUAAUGUGGUAGUUUUUUGCUAUUUACUCCCUACACAGCAGUACAAUGUCCACACUUAUUUUAACCACACCAUUCUCAUUGUUACAGUUGUGAGACUAAAUCAACCUAUUAUGCAGGACAACAUCCCUGGGUUCAGGAAACAACUCACUGCCCUCCUAGUGGAGUCUCCACUGAACAUGAAAAGGACGGCGAAACGAUGAGGACUAGAAGAGAGUCAAAGUCAUGAAUGAAGGAUGAAGAGAGUUGAAAGUUGUCAGAAUUUGCUAGUUUUUCUAGAAUAAAACUUGGAUUAAGAUUCGUUCAAACUUUACGCUCAUACUUUUUAAGUUGUGAUUGAACUUUAGAAAGUUUUACAAUUUAUUUUGUGUUUCUUAUGAGAAUCAAUUGAAAUAAAUACGUGCUUAAUUGCAUGGUGGAGCAGCUAAAAACUAUGCUUUGCAAAAUUGCAAAGAGAGAAGAUAAGAGGAAUCUACGAGUUAAUUUCAGCAAUUAAAUUGCAAGUUGCCCCUUGGAAAAAACAAGGAACAUGGGGAAUUUAUGCCUCUGUUUUUUAGGAGUUUAUUCUAACCAGGUGGUACUAAUACUAUUUAAGGAAGAUAUGUGAGUAUUAUAACAUACUAAACAUCAUAUAUAACAAACUUUGUGCCUUGUUAUAGCGGCCAGCUCGCCUACUUUUUAUAAGCAUCCCUAAUGCACCUCCUUUAUUUUUUUAUAAGCAUUGCAUAACACGUAAAAAAAAA
rnacentral:lncRNA from 1 species